UCUUGCUAUUUUGUCUUACCAAGAUCUAGCUUUUAAGGAGCCAAAAUCUUAUGAUGAAGUCAUAUCCAACCAGUUGAGUAAACACUGGCAAGUGGCCAUGGAAGAUGAAAUGAAAUCCCUUUUGAAAAAUUAGACUUGGAAACUUGUCACCAAGCCUAAAUAUCAAUUUGUUGUAGAUUGUAAAUGGGUUUACACUGUGAAAGGAGGUUCAAAAAAGUAACCUCUUAGAUUUAAGGCCAGACUGAUUGCCAAGGGAUUCAUACAAAAUCAGGGAAUAGAUUACAAUGAAAUUUUUUCAUCUAUAGUAAAAUAUACCACAAUCAGGGUAAUGUUAGCUCUUGUGGCUCAUUAUGACUUCGAAUUAGAGCAAAUGGAUGCUAAAAUAGCUUUCUUGCAUGGGGACCUAGAUAAGAUCAUCUAUAUGAAAUAGCCAAGGGAUCUAUAGAUAAGAAUAAGCCUGAUCAUGUUUGCUUGCUAAAAGAUCCUUGUAUGGUUUAAAAGAAUGACCUAUACAAUGGUAUAAAAUGUUUGAUACAUUUGUUUCUUCAAUUGGAUUUAUAGGAGUUCUUUUGACCAUUGUUUGUACUUUAAAAGAAAUAAGGUGCUGUGAUUGUUUACCUUUUGUUGUAUGUAGAUGAUAUGUUACUCAUUGGGCAUGAUAGUAAUUGCAUCUAUGAUAUCAAAAGGUUUUUGAGCUCUAAAUUUGAAAUGAAAGAUUUGGGACAUGCUAAAAGAAUCCUAUGUAUGGACAUUAUAAGAAAUAGACCUAAAAGAUUACUUGUUUUGAAACAAACUUCUUAUGUGGAAAAAAUGUUGUUAAAAUAUGCUAUGCAUGAAUAUAAAUCUGUUAAUUUACCUUUGGCCAGUCAUUUCAAAUUUGGCAAAGAACAAUGCCCUAUAGAUGAAUCUGAUGUUAAGUAUAUGGAAAAGGUUUCCUAUGUUAAUGCUAUGGGAUUUGUAAUGUACACAAUGAUAUGUACUAGACUUAAUGUGGCUUAUGUUAUUAGUACCCUGAGCCUUUUUAUGGCAAACACUGGACCUGAGCAUUGGACAACCUUAAAAUGGCUUUUUAAGGUACUUGAGAGGAUCUUCACAUUUAGGAUUAUGUUUUAAAGUCUGUAAUGAAGGGGUUGUAUUCAAGUGAUAUGUAGAUGCAGACUAUGCUAGGGAUAGGGAUAAUAAAAAGUCAACAACUGCAUACAUAGUUACUUUGUGUGGUACUUGUAUUAGUUGAAAAUCUCAACUUCAACAAAUUGUUGCAUUAUCCACUGUUGAGGCUGAAUAUGUAGCUACUGCUGAGGCCAUUAAGGAAGCUUUAUGGUUAAAAGGGUUGUUAACUGAAAUAUAUAAACUAAAAUAACCUAUAGUAGUGUAUUCAGACAAUAAAAGUGCAAUACAUUUUUGUAAAAAUCCUAUUUUGCAUGAAAGAACCAAACAUAUUGAUUUUAAACUACAUUUUAUAAGAGAUGUAAUCUCAAAAGAAUUAUUACUUUUUGAAAAAAUUCCCACUGAAUACAAUCCAUCUGACAUGGGAACCAGCGUACUGCCUUUAAAAAAGUUCAAGUCUUGUUUACAAUUACUGAAUAUUGAUGCAUCUUAAUGCUUUGGUCUAUGUAGGUAUAUAAAACUUGGUGACCACUGGAAAUGCUAAGGAGCUACUGCUAUGUUGGAUAAGUAGUAUGUUAGGCUUCUAGUAUGACCACUAGCAUCAAGGUGGAGAUUUUUUGGGCUAUGAUGCCACAUUUAGUCCAAUAAUUUAGGCUGUGAUGAUAUGGCCUGUCAGCCUUGAUAAGUAAAACUGCCCAAUAAAAUCUCAUAGAAGGCCCACAACCCCAAGCCCAAUUUCGGCCGAAUAUAUUGUAUGUUCAAAGUGCGACUUUAGUUGCUGAUUGAAUAGUGGAAACAUUAGUCACUCUGGACCAUUAGAUCACAUCCCAAAUUAAUGGUUGUUGUAUUUAGUAUAAAAGGGGUCUUUCUUGUAACCCUAAAUCAAUCAAUUCAUUCUUCAAGUCCGUGAGAGAGUCUCUAGAAUCUUCAACCCCUUUCGUCUUCUCUUCAAUUCUCAUCUUCCCAUUUUUUUGUGAUUAAAAGUUGAAAUCUCUGUGUGAGAUAGGAGUCUGUGAUUUCCGUUCUGUGCGUAAGACGGUUGAUCUGGGACUGAAUUCUUUUUGGGUUCAUUGUAGUGACUUUGUUUCAUAUCCGAGUUGUGAGGGUUUUGGGUCUAUCCAGUACCUUUGUGUUGAUAAGGAAAGGGUACAGUGAUCUGAAACUAUGAUUAAUGAGAUCUUUGAUGCUGGUUGAUUGGGGAUUUUUCGAGUGUUGUUGAUGUAUUCUCUUUGUACUGAAAUUGUUGUAUCUUUGAAUGAUUUGUAUUAAGAGUUUAACAAGCAAAUUUCUAAGAACCAGUGUUACAUGAUCAAGCUUGCACAACCAAACUUCAAUCUAAAAAAAUGUGUAAACCAAUGGGUGACCAAAAAAUGAAAGACCUCUCUUGGAAUCAUCAAAAUCUCAUCACUUCCUAAACUUCAAAUUCAAAGUAGAAAUUACAAAAAAUUUCUCAAGCACAAACAUGAACUGGUAUCACAUAAAAAGAACAAAGAUAAUAAUCAACUUCGAAUUUCAGAAUACGUCUUGUAGGAAUUUCUGGAGUUAUGGUGGUAUGCAUGGUUGGUGUACCUGUUGUACUUGAGAGGUGAUCAACAAGUUCUUGGCCUUCAACAAGAACUAGGGUUUGCUUACGCCAUAAAGGGUAAUUGUUGUGUUUGAGUUUUAUGGUGACGUAGUUGCCAAACAUUGAGGGAAAGUGAUGCCAUUUAAAAACCCGCGUGCUCACCGAAGCUCUACUGCAAAGAAAAAAAAAUUGAAUCUGGGUAAAACUUUUGUAUUGUAUUUUUUUAUUGACUCAACGUGAGCUGCAGAGAUACAAAUGAGUAAACAAAUCAAAUCAUAGCACUUCCCAUUCUUCAACUUCACAGCAGAAAUUCAUAAAAUUAUAUAUAUAGAACUUUUCUCAGGGCACAGAGAUGCAUUGGUAUCUUAAGCUGAACAAAGAUCAUACCAAUUUACCAAACAUAGAAUGAUGGUGAUGCAUGAGGUUUCAAAUCAAUUGAGAUCGAGAUGCUAGACAACAUGUCGAUGGCAUUAAGAUAUCAUGAGAUGGAGGAUCGGCGCAAAGUUGAAAAGUGAUUGCAAUACUUUCUUAUUUGGGGCAAUUUUGACACGUUUUUAGUAAUUUUGUCAUAACUUUGACUACGAUUAUCAGAAUCACGAUUAUGACCCAAUUCAGAAAGCUCUUUUCGGUGCGCACAUCGUGAUCACCCAACUUCGCUCGAUGGACAUCAAUUUUGAGGCCAAAAUCUACUAUUUUCACUUCCAAAUUUCAAUUUUUAGUUUUUUUUUUCAUUUAUAGUAAUAUUUUAUUUUUAUUUUUUUUCUAGUUGAUUACGAAUCCGAUUUGAGCCAAUUUUGGCAAGUUACUUCUUUUAUUUUGGUGUGAUUUUCGGGAUUUUGCUAUUGUUGAUAAAAUUUCCAUAAUUUCAUAUAUUCUCAACUAUUUAACCCGACUUCUGGGUUAAUUUUCGUAAUUCUGGAGUUUUAAUAAUAUUGAGUGAAUUUCAUCGAAGUUUCUCUACAUUUUGGACGUUAUUCUUUUGUUUACUUUUUCUGCGAAUCGUUUGUUACAACAAGCUUGCGAGAUAAUCGCUAUCCUGCCCAGCGUCAGAAGUAUAUAUAUUCUUGCAACAACUUACUAUUCUUAGUCCCUCUUAAAACACUGAAAACAACCAAAUACAUAAACAGAAGGAAAAUAAACUCAAGUUGUAAACAAACCAUCAAAAGAAAUACAAUGCUAAUCUACGCAGCUUGUGAUAAUAUGUCAGCAUUUAUAUUCGCCUCUUGCAAGUUCAGAACCCUCCUCAUCCCCCUUCCUGAAUAGUCUUUUCGAUAACAUCAAAGAGAUAAGAUUCACUACACUAUCCUUAAAAGUUUUUUAAUUACGGUUAAAAAAAAAAGUAUUUUAAUUUUUUUCUUUUUGCUUUGCAUGGAAUUUAACAAUUCAAAUACUAUCCUUUAAAUUAUUAAUUCGAAACAAGUUGUUAGUUUUAAAUAAAUAAGUUUUAAUAGGAAUUAAACAAUUUCUUGCACGUAAAGUCAUACUUCAAGUCGUCACCCCUCGAAUCAGGUAACACAUAAGUUUCACCGUUAUACAUAAUAUCUUUAGUUUAUAUGCACAUAUGAUUGUGUUUAUUCUGUAAAGAAUUCAAUUUAUGAACGCAUGAAUAAGCAUGACCUGCGAUAAAAAUUAAAAAUAUCGCGAGUUAAUUAUUUACAUGUAGCAACAUAGGACAUUAAAAGGACAUGUCAUGUUCUAAUUGAAUUAUAGUACUCAAAUGAUAGAAAUAAGUAUAUAAUAUAUAUUAAUCUUUCGAAGUUGUGAAGUGUUCUAAUUAGAUUUGAAUUUUUUUUAAUAUUAUAGAUUAAUUUAGAACUUUUAAAAAAUUCUUUAUGUCUAUGCAAGAUAUUUCCAUGCCAAAAUCGUUUUUGACUUUUUUUUCCAAUAAAUCACAAUGCUCUAAUAUCUCUUUUGGUCCCUUGAACAAUUUCAGCACUGAGGCCUCUUUUGGAAUUAUUUUAUUUUAACAUCAGAAGGAAAAAAAAUUGCAUUCUUGUUUAUUCUUAAAAAUACAUAUAACCAGAAGAAUAAUUCUACUCAACUAGGGGCCGUGACAGGCUGCCAAUUUCCCCCCCCCCCCCCCCCCCCCCCACCCCCCACAUUGGGCGGCCUUUAUCACAGUAGCAAGGCCCUAAUUAGAAAUAUCAAAAUCAUGGCUCCACUAUAAAGAUCUAAGCAUCGGAUGAAUUGAUCCUAGGCCCAUUCUAAGUUUAUUCCUUGCACACACUUAUUAAACACUGAAAGUAGAAAAUUUUGGUCAUCAAGAUGAAAUGGAAUCUUCCAUUCCAUAACCCCCAACACCGUUCAUUCUCUAAUGGUUUGGAAGGUUCUAAAUAAGCAAUGUAAAUUUAAAUGGGGGACAAUAAUUUCAAAAUAGGCAGAGAAAUAUAUAGAGCAUCUUCCAUACACUCCAAGUUCAUAUCUAAUGACAACUUUGUGGAAAAUAUAACUUGUCAAUUUAAAAACUGCUGAAUAUAGACAGGCUUUAAGGCUUGUUACAAAUUCUCUUUAAAGAGUUCGACUAACGAAAUUAAUUCCGAAAAUCUUGCAGAUGAGUUUUACUUGGUUGCUAGAACAAGAAAAUGAUGAUUCCGCAACAAUUAUAUUUUUCUACAAAAGUUAGAACGUAUUGCUAUACUUAACAACCUUUAGAUGAUGUCGUUGAAUGUGAUGCACAGAGUGUGGUCCAUAAUAUACAAACUUUAUAUUCUACCACUUUUAACUAAGGUGUGUAUUAGUUCACGUGCUGCUUUAUAGCUUGCAAGGGGAAUAGAGUGGCCCGUGAACUUGUUUCUUUCUUUUGCUACUAUUUCCAUGACUUCUUAUAGUUGGAUCACUUGUAUACCACAUUUAUUUCUCGAGUUAUAGGAAGUAUUGUGCUUUUGUUAUAAGAAAAAGUAAGUUGGUUUUCAUGUCAAUUAACUUUAAAGGCAAAGCAUAUAUAGACUUAUUUAGAGACACAAUCUUUUUGAAUGGAUGCAAAUUUUCUCAUUCAUAAAUAGGUUUGUGUUUUCUUAGCCCUUGUUUUAUCCCCAUUUUGGGGGUAAUAAUUUAUUUUGGAUAUUAGAUUGAUAGAGAAUAUGUAGUUAAAAAUUAAAGAAAUUUUUUGAAUUUAAGUGUAAUAUUAUUUUAUUGAAAAAUGUGUGGUUGAAAACGAGUUUUGAAAAAACGAAUUUUUAGAAGAAUGUGAAUCAAACUAGGACUUAAUAUCUUUUCCACUUAGGCAUAAUUUUUCUGCAUCUAAUAUGGACCACUAAUUUCUUUCAUAUUUAUUCCAUGAGUUCCUAAAAUUUUUUUUUUAUCACAUUGAGCCCUAGUUUGGCCCCCCAUUAAAACUCAUCAAUUUAAUUUAAAUUUUUCUCUCUUCUAUUUUCAACCAUAAAAUCUUCGAUAAAAUAAUAUUACACGCAAAUUGAAAACUUUUCAUUAUUUCACAGCCAUCCAUUUUUCAACAAAAACACUAUUUCCCCAUUAUAAAUCCAAAUAAUGGAUGCAAAAUGGGGGCUGAAUAUGAUCACAGCAUUAAUUAAUUUUUUGAUAAUUAGAAUUUCCCAAGUUUUUGAUUUCUGAACUAGUAAAAAAUAUCAUAUGCUGGCAGUAGGAUGCUUGGCAAGUAGUCAAAAAAGGAUCAAACCAAUUCUUAUGUUGUUAGAUUCACAAGUAUUAUCCACUUAUCCAUGACUCAUUUAUAUUUACUUAAUAACACUUCCCAAAUAAGUUAGUUUACUUAGAAUGAAUUUCUACACUAGGGUAAAAGUAAAUUAUUCAAAACAUGUUCAGAAAGAAAAUACUUAAAAUUAACUUCUACUUAUUUUCAAUCGUUGCCAAAUUAAUAUCCUUCUUUUUCCAAGUGUUACCUUAAGUCUGCUGCUUUUUUGAAAUAGGAGGAAGUUAGGUACGUUCUUUGCAUCUUCCGCACUCCAGCGAAUCAAGUCAAUAUGCUCCUCCUCAGAGCGAUCUCUUUCAAUUUCUACAAUUUUCUUCUAUGCAGAUAUGUUUUCACCGGCAUUAGAUUUUGGAAUCUGAAUCAUUUGAUAUAAUUGCUGAAGUUAUAAUCAAGAUGUUCAGCUUAAGGAUCAAUAAAAAAUUGAGUUCCUAAGUUCGACUUUAGAGCUUUCAUAGCAUUAAUUUAUAGCCACGAUUCUGUAGUGAUUAGGAGUUGAUGUUCCAUAUAUUUUAUUGUGUGUUUACCAAGUAGUUAUCGUAAUUAGUCAGGAAUCACAAAUAUCUUUGAGUUAAUAAAGUAAAUUAAAGGUGUAUAAAGGAGUAAAACAGGCUUGAUUGAGUUUAAAACAUUUACUUACGAGUAAAUAAGAAAGCUUUUUAUCAUUUCAAGAGCUAAGGUAAGAAUUAAUUAUUUCUGAAUGAAUAGCUUUAAAAAUAUAUAUUUCCAAAAGUAAAUAAUUUUUUUACUUAAAAUAAAAAAAAUAAUUUUUUAAACUCGUUUGAACCCAUUUUUGAAUAGUGUAUUGAUAGAAAAUAUGUAGUUAAAAAAUAAGGAAAAAUUUUAAAUUUACGUGUAAUAUUAUUUUAUUGAAAAUAUAUUAUUGAAAUGAUGUCAAAAUACUGUUUAAAAUUGCCUUUUUCACCCAAAGAAUAGGGUUCAAACAAGGGCUAAAUUUUGGAAUGAAAAGUUAUUCCAAUAUAAUUACUUAGCCAAACGUACUCUCAAGGAAGCUUCUUAUUGGUUCUUUUCUCAAGUUAUUUUAGCAGAUGUGUGUUUACUAAUUAUCUUAAUUAGUCAGGAAUUAUAAAUAUCUUUGUGUUAAAAUGUAAAGCAAAGGCGGAAAAGGAAUAAAACUCAAAACAGGCUUGGUCGAGCUCAAAAAGUUUAUUUAUAAGUAAAUAAGUGCUAGUUUGGGAGAAAUUAUGAUGAGAUUAUUAGUGAAUAGUGGGCACUGCAAAACUUGUGGAUAAUUAGUGAGCAAAUAUUGUGAAUAUGUGAUUGAAAUUAUUAAACAUGAUUCCCAACAAAAAAAAUAUUUAAGCUUACGUGCUUAGAAAUACCUACACUCUAUGUAGCUUCCUAGACAAUAGUCAAAUUAAGAUUUAAAGGGUGUUUGAGCUCCAUUUUUAUGAAAAAAAUGAAUUUUAGAAUAGUAGAUUAAUAGAAAAUGUGUAGUUGAAAAAUAAGGAAAAUGUUUUUAUUUACGUACAAUAUUACUUUAUUGGAAAGUGUUUGAUUAAAAAGAAGAGAGAGAAAAAUAUAUUUUGAAAAAAACAUCAAACAAAGCCUUAUUAUAGUAUUUUUCAUGGUUCAUGAACCUAACUUAUAAAACAUAAAUGACUAAAGCAUAAUAAUUAAUUAUGCCAAAAUCUUGGAACCAAUCCCUUAAGAAUAAAAUUAUGAUUAUCCCACAAAAAAGUUCUGACUCUUAUGCAAUAAGAUUUUAAUAGGCUAAUUUGUAGCAGAGCAUUUUCAAGAAACUCGUUAUUUUUAAAGAGCAUAUUUUAUCAUUUAGAGGCUAUUUAUAAAUUUAGAGAGUAAAAGUUUUAAAACACUCAACAGCCUCUUCAUAUUUAACACUUAAUUUUACUACUUCAGGAAAAAUUUAUUAUUUUUCUUUAUCUUUUAUUUUGAUUAGCUUUUCUCUAGAUUGUUAUAUUAUUUUCCUACAUUGAAAAUUGAAAUACUUUGAAUAUAUUUAAUUAUAGUAAGUAGGUUUGGCUCUCCGAACCCAUUCUCUAAAUUAAAAUGUUAAUUUAAAGAGUAUGUUGAAGUAUAAUUUUAAAGGUUGACUCUAGAAGUUAUACUUUGGAAAUCCAUAUAAAGACCAUCAUUUGGCAAUAUUGUCAUCACAAACAACACAAAAAACCAGCUGUUUCAUAUCUUUGGGAGCAGUUAAAAUUUGACAUGGCACAUUAAGAAAAUCUUGGAAAGAUUGGCAUAGAAGGAUUUAAAAUCGUGAAGGAGUUCUUCCCCGAAAGAAGAGGUCUGACUACUCACCAAGAACGCUAAGAGAACGAAUAUUUUACUCCAAAGGAGAGAAAUCAGGUUGCUCCGAGCAAGCAAGGUUCUAUCAAUUGCAACUAGGCUGCCAAUAAUAUGGAGGAGUCAUAAUUAUAGAAGGUCGUAAGAAAGUACCUUUUAGGUACUAAGGCUUAUUAGACACUCUCCCGGUUUAUUAGACACUCUUCCUUAUGUUCUUUGAAAAUCAUAGUAAAUCCACUACUUAUGAAGCUAGAUAACAUAUGAUGUGCAUUUAGUCUACGAGUCUAAUGUAAUAACUGUUGGGUGUGGAAACUUCAAUAACUUAUGUUGAUUCCAAACAGAAUUUUAAAGAAUGAAAUUUAAUGAUAAUAUUGAAGUAAACAAGAUCACACCAAGAAACAAGGUUUAAAAGUAAAGAGGAACAAAAGGAUUAACGUAGAGGAACGAUGUUUAUUGAAUCAACAAUAUAGAGAAUACAAAGCACUCUAGUAAUUGGCUUCUAUCUAUUACAUGUAAUAAAACUGACAGAGGAGCAUUGUAUUUAUAGGUCAACCCUAGAAGAGUUUUAAAAAGAAAGAAAGAAAAUAUAUUACAAUUAGGAGACCCAAUUUCAACAUGAUUUUGUUUCCUUUUGUCGGAUGCAAUUAGAUUCCCUUUCCAAGUAAAAUCUAAACUGCAUCUUCAAAAGACUCCUAACUAAUUUUUAAGAUUCCACUUGAUCAAAUCCUAAAUAAACAAUAAUCCUAACACAUUUGAGUCACCAAACCUAACAAUUUCCACCUUGACUCAAAUUUCGGUGCUACGAACGAAACUCCUAGAUUUCAAAUCUAUCUACAUCGAAAUUAACUGGCUGAAUCUCCUCAACACAGUAACCACUCAAUAUAAACCAAACACUCAUCCUCUACCCGGUGUUCACAACCGACACCCGAACCCAAUCCCCAGGGUUUCCAAUUCCACCAAGAAAUUAAUGUUGAUCACACAGGGUCGAAGCACAUAGAAGGCCCCUUGUUGGAGCUGUCGCCUUCAACAUACCCAAAAGCAUCCAAGACAUUAUUGACACCACCGUACCUAUGCUCGAUGAGUCCUAUCCUAGUAACUGAACAUAGUGUACUCACUGAAAUUGAUGGCAAAGUGGGAUCACAAUGCUCUCCCUAACAAUGUUCUAAACCGACUCAGAGUCCAACCCAAGAGGUACUAUACCAAAUCGAACUUCCACCACGGUACUAAACUUGUCCAAAUGUCUCCUAACAGGUUCUACACUAUCCUGCAAAAUGUACAACUGGGAUCUCCUUCAUCCUUCCAGUACAAUUCGGACUCCCUUUCCACCUCCUCUAGAGAAUUUAUACCUUUUUACAUCCAAGGUACUCAGUGAAAUGAAAUUUCUUUUUAGAUUAGGAACAUGUCAAAUAUGAUCAAUUGUUCUAAAUGUUCUAUCUCACAGCCUCAAUCUGACUCGAUCGAUCCUAGUAAUACGACAAUAUUGAUUGUUUUCCAUUACAACUUCACCUUGCUGAACAGCCUCAUAUGUCUGAAAUAAAUUUCUAUCGGAACACGUGUGGUACGAACAUACUGAAUCAAUAAUCCACUCCUCGUCAGGCCUAGACUCCACAUCAGAUAUCACGAUCAACAUCACCUCUUCGCUAUUUGAACAAUUCUCAACUACAUUAGUUUCGUCUGAAUUCAAAGGUUGUACCCCACGAUUUGCAGUUAAAUCACCUUCAAGCUACAACAUAUCGCAAUCCUUUUGAAUAUAUCCCUUCCUUUUGUAGUAGUAACAGGUCAUAUUGCUAAAUCUAACUCUCGAUCUACCUAUUUAUCAACCACCUUGUGAUACAAGAGCUUUCCCAUCCGUUGAUGUAGCUACAAUCAAAUGCUUCAUCUUCUCUUUUGAGCGUAAAGUAUCAUAGACAUCUUCUAUAGUCAAAAUAUCUCGACUAUACAAGAUAGUAUCCUGAAACGACGUAUAAGACCCAGGCAGCGAACACAACAGGAUCAAGACAAUAUCUUCUUCAUCAUACUUAACCUUCAACGUCUCCAGAUUUGCAACUAUUUCUUUAAACACGGCAAUGUGAUCUUCCAACGAUCGUCCUCCCAUCAUGCGAUAGGAAUACAUUCUCAACGAUCCUUCUCCUUGAACUCGCAGUCACACAUAAUUGCUCUAGUCUCAACUACAAAGUAGCUGCCGUCUUCUCCUUUAAGACAUCCUGCAGAAUAUUGUUGGAUAAAUGAAGAUGAAUCAAUGACACAGCCUUUUGAUCCUUCCAUUGUCCAAUCAGCUGGCAUUUUCUCAAAAUCCAAAAAUAUAUUGUCCAAAUCCAACUGCGGCAAAACAGCCCUCAUCUUUACUUGCCAAAAAGAAAAUCUUGUAUUGCGAUCCAGUUGCGGAAUAUCAUACUUCAACCUAGCCAUCCCGAAAAAUCUCAACCAAUCUACGAAAGGAACUAAGCUCUGAUACUACUUGUUGGGCACGGAAGCUCCAAUAACACAUGUUGAUUCCAAACCGAAUUUUAAAGAAUGAGAUUUAAUGACAAUAAUGAAGUAAACAAGAUCACACCAGGAAACGAGGUUUAAAAGUAAAGAGCAAAAGGAUUAAAGCAGAGGAAUGAUAUUUAUUGAAUCAACAAUCUAGAUAAUAUAAAGUAAUCUAGCAAUUGGCUUCUAUCUAGUACAUCUAAUAAAAUUAACAGAGGAGCCUUGUAUUUAUAUGCCAACCCUAGAAUAGUCCUAAAAGACAAGAAAAUAUAUUACAAUUACGAGACCCAAUUUCAACAUGAUUUUGUUUUCUUUUGUUGGAUGCGAUUAGAUUCUCUUUCCAAGUAAAAGUCUAACACACAUCUUCAAAAGACUCCUAAUCAAUUUCUAGGAUUCCACUUGAUCAAAUUCUAAAUCAACAAUAAUCCUAACAUAUUUAAGUCACCAAACUUAACAAGUAAUAACCUGGUAACAUAUGCAGCGCUUUAGUAACCUUGUAACUUUCGUGUGAUUUACGUAUUUAUACCUUGGAUCAUUUGCUCGAAAAUCCUCGACUCAAGGCUUUGCAUCUCGUGAUUGGUUCUCACGGACUAUUCUAAUAGCCAUUCACUUCAUAUCUGCAAUAACAGACAAUAUAUGUUCCAGUCACCAAAGAAAUGGAAGGAAGAUAUUAAAGUUAGUACUGUUGAAACUAGUUAAAUGAUACCUCAAAAAAUCCUCCUGAGAAAUAGUGCCAAUUAAUUAAAGUUCUCGAGUUAAAUGAGACGGCCAUUAUUUUCAAACAUAGGGGGACAUGAAUCAAAGCAGUUUACAUACAUCGUCCCGUGUAAUACUACUGAACCCCGACGUGUCAUGCGCCGAUGAUAGAUACCAACUAAAAGUCGGACCCACCAUCUAGGCAACUAUAAGUACAAUAUAUCACUUUUUAUACAUCAUUUUUCUAACAAAAUUCCGGUAUUAUCUCCCAUGUAAACAAGACUAACCAACCUGUGAUCAAUUACACACAAAUCCAUAAAUACUGCUGGUUCGUUGGUCACCCCAAAUGGCAUCACAAGGAACUUAUAAUGACAAUACCUUGUCCUGAAAGCAGCUUUUUGGUACAUCACUAUCCCUAUUUUUAAGUUGGUGAUAUCCAGAACGCAAAUCAAUCUUUGAAAAUAUCGCAACACCAUGAAGCUGAUCAAACAGUUCAUCAAUACGUGGCAAAAGAUAUUUAUUGCGAAUUGUACUUUGUUCAAUUGUAUGUAAUAUAUGCAUAGUCCCAUGGUGCCGUCUUUCUUCUUCACAAACAAAAUUGGUGCUUUCCACCGAGAUACACUAGGUCUGAUGAAACCCUUGUCUACCAACUCUUGCAACUGAAUAUUUCAAUAAGUAACUUUUUACUUAAUUUUAACUUUGAAGAAUUCAUAUCAUUGAAUAAUUCACAAGAUAAUAUCAUAUAACUAUAGGCAAGUGUGAGAUAUUCACAUAAUGUCAUAAAAUAUCAUCUCAAAAUCAAGCUAUAAACAUCAAUUGAUAACUGUGCUAUAAUCUCAUUACAUCAAAUGUACAGAAAAAUCUAUCAAAAAUGUACCAUCUAACUAAAAUCUGUAAUCCGUCCCUCGGGCAAGAAAUAUAGCAACCCCAUUACUAGGCAUCUGUUAUGCCAAUAUGUCAGCUUAAGGCAAGAAAAAAAACCAUUUUAUUCUUGCCAACCCAAAAGAUUUAGGGAUAAAUGAGGUUCUCAUUUCAUCUUUAAAACAUUCAUAACAUUCAUUAAUAACCGUGAUUUUGCAGUGAAUGGGAAUUUCACUAAUAUUAAAAGUGUUAAUGUUCCACAUGUUUGAUGUGCUUUUACCUCAUAGUUAUCUUAGGGUAUCUUUGUGCCCCUUUAAUUUCAAAAAGUGUAUUAUAGAAUAGUGAUUGAUAGUGAAAUGUAUGAUUAAAAAGAAGGAAUUUUUUUUAUUUAUGUGUAAUAUAAUUUUAAUGAAGAAUUUGUGGUUGAAAAUGAGUACUGUAGAAAAAAUAAUGUGAUUGAACGGUUGACAAAGAAAUGCUUAAUUAGUUAAUAAUCAUAAACAUUUUUAAGUUAAUAAAGCUAUAACCAAAAGGCAGAAGAGCUUAAAGAAUUAAUUGUAAAUAAACAAGUAAGUUUACAUUUUUGAAAGUAAAUAAGAUUAAGUUAGUUAAUUAAUUUAUUUUGAUGAUAUACUUUAAAAGUAAGUAAAUUAUUUAUCUCGAUGAAUUACUUGAAGUUAAUUUAUUUUCAAUUAGACCAUGGAUGAAACGUCAUUGGGUUGUGAUUGGUGUGCAUAAUUUAUGUACAUAGAACCAAGACUUAUCCAACAUCAUUUCACCCUUAAAUCACAAUAGUUUAAUGUCUCUUUCCAUCCUUUGGGACAAUUUCAACAGUGAUAUCUGUUUAGGAAUUAUUUUUCUUCCAAUUUUGAAUACAUAUAUAAUCAUGAAGUCACUAUACUGUCAAGAAAUCCUAAGAUCUUACUGUUGGAUGAUUGGAAUGUUGACUAGUGAUGGCCACUAUUCAUGAAUAAUGGAGCCUAAUAUUUAGACUUCACAUUUUCCUCAAAGUUGAUUCCCACAUUUCAAAGUUUGGCAGUAAAGUUUUCCUUUGCAUUUAAUGAAAACAUCAUGCAUGGACUUUUCUCUAAUUUCAUUCAAAAUUGGGAAUGUUAUUAAAUUCACUGAAAAUACAUGUAAUUGGAGCAAAUUGUCAAAAAGUACAAAGAUUGUGUUUCCUAGAAAUUUUCUAUAAAUAGAAUGCAUAGAAUGAAAUUAAGUAAAUAAAAAAGACAGAGAUUGAGUAACAUUGUGCAAUGAGUUAAAUAAGAGAAAAUUGAGAGAUUGUUUCUCCAUAGGAAAGUAAAAUACAGAAUGUAUUUUUUUUUUAAUCCUCUUAUUCUUUUGUUGAUAUAAUGAAUAUUGGUGUGGGUUUGUGGCGUAGGCACCAUUUUCGAACCACGUAAAUUCUUCUGCCGUACUUGCACUUAUUUUUUGCUAUCUUCAUUUAUUCUCAUUUUAAAUUAUUUGUGCUCCAUUGAUUUGACACAAUUAGUAGCGUCUAAUUCCUAACAACUAGUAUCAGAGCUUUUUAAUUUGAGUGGGAGCAAUGGCGACAGAUUAGAAUAUAUCUAAAAUCUAUAAGUUUGAUGAAUUAACUUUGGAUUUUGGAGGAUGCAAAUGGAGAACUACUUAUACUAAAAGGAUCUGUAUAAAUCACUUCAUAAGAAGCCGAAGGACAUGACCGACAAUGAGUGGGAGUUAAUUGACCGAAAGGCCUUUGAAGCAAUAAGGCUAACAUUGUCAAAGUCGACCACUUUCAACAUAAAAAAUUAAAAAACAACGGCGUCUCCCAUGGCAGCCAUAUCUAGCAUGUAGGAACAACCAUCUACAGCAAACAAAGUUUUAAUCAAAGAGUUGUUUAAUAUGAAGUUGGCAGAAGGAGGAAGAUUUGGACACCACCUAAAUGAGUUCAAUGAAGUGACGGACUAGAUAAAAAUAGUCGAAAUCACUUUCAGUAAUGAGGUUCGAACUUCGUUGAGUCUCAGGCAAUUGUCUAAGGGUUGGAAUGACAAAGCUGUAGCAGUUAGUAGUUCUACUAGAAAUUCCAAAUUGAAGCUUGAAAAUGUUGUGAGUAUGAUUUUAACUGAGAAAAUUUGAAGAUAGUUAAAAUUUUUUUCCAUUUUAAGAUUUUUUUUGAAUGUAGAGAGCAGGUGCAGAAAGUUCAAACAGAAACAAAGGGCAAAAUAGGAGCGUGUCAAGAAUUGGCAGAUCAAGAUCAAAAAAUCCAAAGAUUUCCAACAAAUCAAAAACUGUUGAAUGUUGGCAUUGUGAUAAGACCAAACACUACAAAAAUCAAUGCCAAGUAUCCAAGAAAGAAAAUGAAAACAAGAUCUAGGCCAAUGUUGUAGCAGAAGAAUUAGAUGAUACUUUGAUAUGCUCUUUGGAAAGCAAAGCAGAAUAUUGGGAAAUAGAUUCUAGAGCAUUUUUCACGCUACCUUAAAUAGAGAACUCUUCGUGAAUUAUGUACUGGGUAAUUUGGGAAAGGUGUAUCUUGGUGAUGAUCAACUUUGUGACGUAUUCAGCAAAGGUGAAGUACAAAUCAAGCUUAAUGGAUCUGUAUGGAAACUAAAAGAUGCGACAUAUUCCAGACUUGAGGAAUAACUUUAUAUACGUGAGACAACUAUCAAAUUAAGGUUAUGUCACUACUUUCAAUGAUGAUAUUUGGAAGAUUUUCAGGGUGCAAUGACCAUCACACGAGGCAAGAAGAGUGGCACUCUUUAUAUGACGACGAAUGCUUGCGAAAUAAUUUGAAUUGUUGAUUCUAAUGAAGAUUCAAAUUUAUGGCACCAGAGACUUCGACAUAUGAGUUAGAAAAGAAUCAAGUAUCUGCAUCAUAAAGGGAAACUACCAAGGCUUCAAUCUAGUGACGUAGAUAGUGUGAGAGUUGCAUCUUCGAGAAGUAGAAGUGGAUGAGUUUCAAUAAGUGUGGCAGAACUCCAAAGCAGAAGAAGUUAGAGUUAGUUCACGCUAAUGUUUGGAGGCCAGCUGUAGUACCAUCUAUUGAUGCAAAAUCUUAUUUUGUGACUUUCUUUGCUGAUCACUCAAACAAAAGUAUGGGUCUACUUAUUGAGACAUAAAUCCAAAGUGUUGGAGAUAUUUAUGAAGUGAAAAGCCACAAUGGAGAAUGAAACAGGAUUGCGAAUAAGAAAUUGAGAUAGAUGAUGUCGGAGAGUACGACCACGCUGAUUUUUACAAGAAUGGUAUCAAAUUGGAGAGGACAUUUUCAGGAACAUCGCAACAAAAUAGAGUGAUGGAACAAAUGAAUUGAACGUUAACAGAAAGAGUUAGAAGCAUGCGGUUACACUCAGGUUUGCCUAAACAAUUUUAGGCUGAAGCUAUCAACACACUAGCAUACUUAAUUAACCCCUGGCCAUCAAUACCUUUGGAAUACAGGAUGUCGGAGGAAAUAUGGAACAAAAGAGAAAUAAAACUUUCACAUUUUGAAAGUUUUUGGCCUUGUCGCAUAUGUACAUAUUAGUGAUCAAGUUAGGGGUCCGCUUGAACCUAAAUUACUAAAGUUUACCUUCAUUAGAUAUGGUGGAGAUGAGUUCAUGUACAUCACAUUCAAUGAAAGGGUGAUGUACAAGGAUAGAGAUACUGUGCAGUCCAGUGACAUACAUAAUAAUCCAACAUAUGUUGAGUUAGAAGAUACUCCAAAUAGUAGUAUGCCAUAGCAGACAGAUGAGUGUCCUUAGCCAGAGAAAGCUAUCGGGAAACUGAUAUACUAAAGUCUCCAACUCUUGUUUCUGUACUAAGUAGAUCUUCCAGACCACACAUUCCAAAUAGAAAAGUGCAUAAAUUAUUUAUUACUCACAUAUGCUAGUGAAAUUGAAUGCCAUGAUGAGGCAUGUUAGGGAGAAGAUGUGAUUAAGUGGGAUCUUGCAAUGAAAGAUGAGAUAAAGUCUCUUAUCUCUAAUCAAAUGUGGGAGUUGAUUGAGUUGCAUGCAGGAAAGAAGGCUCUACACAAUAAAUGGAUCUAUCAAGUUAAAGAGGAACAUGAUGGUUUAAAGAAAUAUAAUGCAAGAUUGGUAGUCAAAAGUUUUCAACAAAAAGAAGGAAUUGACUACACAAAGAUUAUUUGCUAGUUGUAAAUCGACAACAAUUCAAUCGGUCUUAAGUAUUGAUGUAGCAGAAGGAUUGCACUUAGAGAGUUAGAUGUGAAAAUUGCAUUUCUCCACAGUGAUUUAGAAGAAGAGACAUAUAUGCAGCAAUCAGAAGGUUUCUCAAUCUAAGGAAAAGAGGAGCUUGUGUGCAAAUUGAAGAAAAAUUUGUAUGGCUUGAAACAAGCUCCGAGACAGUGGUACAAGAAGUUUAACGGAUUUAUGCAAAGAAUUGGCUUCGAAAAGUGCAAUGCUAACUAUUGUUGCUACUUUAAAAGGUUGGAGUCUGGUUACAUUAUUUUGCUACUUUUAUGUUGAAGACAUGCUAGUGGUAGGAUCAGACAAGAAUGAAAUACAAAAAUUAAAGAAGUAAUUGUCAGCGAAAUUUGAAAUGAAGGACUUGGGUCCAGCUAAAUAAAUCUUGGGAUGAGAAUUUGUAGGGUCAAGCAAAAGGGUAUUUUACAGCUAUCUUAGGUGAAGUACAUUGGUCAAGUUUAGCAAAGGUUCAUCAUUAAUAAUGCAAAGGCAGUUAGCACUUGAUUGGCUAAUCACUUCCAUCUGUUUUACGACCAGUAUCCAAAGACAUAAAAAAAGAAAGAACUUCAUGGCUAAUAGUCCAUAUGCAUCAACCAUUGAGAGUUUAAUAUAUUCAAUGAUCUAUACAAGACCAAAUGUUACUCAUCUAGUGGGAGUUGUGAGCAGAUUCAUAACAAAUCCAGGAAAAUAACAUUAGGAAGCACUGAAGUGGAUAUUGAGAUCGAUAAAUGUUUGUACUUCAAAAAAGGUGAGUUGACAUUAUAAGGUUUGUAGACAACAAUUUUGUUGGCAAGACUGAUCAUAGGAAAAAUACUACGGAUAUUUAUUCACUGUUGGUACUACUACAAUGAGUUGGGUUUCACAAAAACAAAAGAUUGUUGCUUUAUCCACUACAGAAGCAGAGUACAUGACAGUAACCGAAGCUAGCAAAGAAAUAAUUUGGUUACAAGGUUUGUUAACACACUUGGGUUUCAAACAUGUGAAGAAAGUUCUGCACAGUGAUAGUAGAGUGCUAUAUAUUUGGCUAAGAAUUCAGCAUUUCAUUCAAGAACCAAGAACAUAGAACUUUAUUAUCACUUCAUCAAAUCACUCUUGGAGGAUGGAGUGUUAAAAUUGAAAAAGAUCUAGGGUAACAAAAAGCCAGCCAACAUGUUAACCAAGACAGUAACUAUAAAAAGACUGGAGUUGCGCUCAACUCUAGUUAGUCUUCUAAGAUCAAGAGUAAAAAAUAUGAUCCACACCAUUUUCACUAAAAGUAACUGCUCGCACAAGGAAUGCGGCAUGUCUCAAGGUGAAGCCACAUUAAUCUCCAAAUAGGAGAUUGCUGAAUAAUGUUGGUCUAUUCAUGAAUAGUGGAGCAUAAUAUUUAGGCUUCAUAUUUUUCUCAAAGUUGGUUUACACAUUUCAAAGUUUGGCAAAAAAGUUUCCUUUGCGUUUAAUGCAAACAUCAUGCAUGGGCUUUUCUCAGAUUUCAGACAUAAUUGUGAAUGACAUUAAAUUCACCGAAUGAAUACGCACGUAAUUGGAGCAAAUUGUCGAAAAGGAAAAAGAUUCCGUUUCCUUGCAAUUUUCUAUAAAUGGAAUGCAUAGAAUGAAAUUGAGUGAAUAAAAAAAAAGACAGUGAGUGAGUAGCAUUGUACAAUGAGUUAGAUGAGGGAAAAUUGAGAGAUUGUCUAUGCAUGAACAAAUAAAAUACGGAGAAUGUAUAUUUUGUAAUCAUCUUACUCUCUUGUUAAUAUAGUUAAAAAUUUGUGUGAGUUUAUGGACGUAGGCACGAUUGUCAAACCACACGAAUUCUUGUGUCACACUUGCACAUAUUUUUUGCUAUCUUCAUUUAUUCUCAUUUUAAAUUAUUUUGCGUCCCACUAAUCCGAGCACAAUUAGUAUCAUCUAAUUCCUAACAUGGAAUCCUCUAGUUUAUCCCUUGUGUUGUUCCCACUUAUUCAACACCGAAAGUAGGAAAUUUUGGAAUCUUUCAUCCUUCAUUUUCUAAUGGUCCAAAAAUUCUACAAGCAAUGUGAACUCAUAUGGGGAUAAUAAUUUUCAAAAUUAUCGAACCAAUAUAGAGCAUGUUCUAUACUCACCUGAACACGAAGAACAAAUUCUGAGUCAAUAAUACAUCUCUAUCUUUUUCUCUAUAAUUUAUGUCAUCAAAACUACCAUGCACUCCAACGUCAUAUUUGACGACAAUUUUGUUCGAAAAUAUAAUAUGUCUCUUUCAUGAAAAAAGAGUAUAGAUAGUCGGUUACUCUAUAUUCACUUUUUCAAAAGAGCAACUUCUAUUUCUACCAGUCCACCACUGAUUUCUUUCAUUUUUAUUCUCGCUAUUAUUCCACAGCAGAAUAUUUUUAUUUUUAUUUUUCUUUCUUUUUUUUUUUUUUUAAUAACAUCAUAAUUGAACAUGCACGGUCAGCUGCAAAAUUAUUUCUGUUACAAUAAAUUAUGAUCAUCUGAACAAAUUAAUUUUUGACACUUAAGAUUUCACAGUUUUCCAUUUCUGUACAGCAAGAAAAUAUCCUGUGCUAGCUUAUUUCGUUUAACAGUAAAAGACCUCUUUACAUAUUGCUUUACAGCUGCAAGAACCAUGUAUUCAUAUCAAAUAGAGCAUUAGGGACUAUAAUAUGGAAGAAUAAAUCUUAAAUGUUGGCUUCUAGUCAAGCAAAAAUAUGUUUAUUUUUCGAAUCACUUACACGCUAACUAUACAAUUAAGUAGAAUCUAUUUAUUUCAAUAAGUGCAUAACUGGCUAAAUCCAAAUUGAUGUUAUUUAAAUCCGUUUACCUAAUGGUGUGAGUACAAUAUAUUCAUUUAAUUAGUACAUCAACAUGGGCUAUAAUUUUUAAAAAAACUCCAAAUUAGUUACUUUAAUCAGGUAAAAACCUUGCUGUGCCUAAAUUUUUAUUCUUUUCUCCAAAUAUAUUUCAUAUUUAAAGAGAAAUGAUUAGCCUAAACUAUAGCUGUAUAAUGCAGUGAUGUUUGGCUAAACUAAAAAUGUUUACCUAUAAGUAAAAAGGUGUUCGGAGGAGAUUAAAAUUAGAUUUUUUUCAAUAGAUUGUGAUAUAAGUUUUUAAAAUGUGUGGUUGAAAAGUUGCGGGAUCCAUGAAAGAUGUGAUUAAGCCUCCGUUUGGCCCCCAUUUUUUUUUUCAAUUUUUUUUUUAUAUUAAGAAUGUGUGGUUGAAAAAGAAUAAAUUUUUUUUAUUUAUGUGUAACAUUACUUUAUGGAAGAUUGUGAUGUUAAAAAUAAAAGAGAGAAAAAAAUUGAAAGAGAAUGGGGGCCAAACGAGAGCUUGAUUGUUGAUCUUUGAUUUAUAUUAAAAUCAGAUUUUAGCCUUUGUUUGGCCCUCAUUUUUUUAAAAUGAAAAUGGGUGGAAUGAUGUUUUUUUUUUUUGAAAAAUGAGUGGUUGAAAAACAAUGAAAAGUUUUCGAUUUACGUGUAAUAUUAUUUUAUGGAAGAUUAUGUAAUUAAAAAUAGGAAAGAGAAAAAUAGAAUGAAAUUUAAUUUAAUUUAAUUUAAUGAGAUUCAAACGGAGCUUAAUCCAAACCAAAUGGGCUCUAAAAAAGUUUAGAAAUAAAUAGCUACUUUAUUGAUCAAAAUUUAGAAAAUUGAAUUAUUUUGACAAUAAGGGUCCGUUUGAUUGCAAGAAUAAAUUUUAGGUGGUAAGAAAUUGAAUUCCAAGAAAUUGAAUUGUAUAGAACUUGUUUUCCUGAGAAUUGUCAAUUAAUAUGUUUGAUUUGUAUAAUUUUUCACUUGAAAAAUAUUGAAAUUUUCUAUCGUUUGGUGUUCGUUUGGCUUUGUUUUUUAUGAAAAUUGUCAAUUAAAAGGAAAAAAAUUUUGUUACAAUUGUAGAUAUAAUUUGUUCCAAUUGCUAAAAAAAAAAAAAAAAAAAAAAAUUGAAAGAAAUAAGUUAAAAAAUAAUAAAAUAAAAUAAAAUAAUCGGUCUUUGCAUCUUCUGCACCAUAGGGAAUCAAGUCAAUAUAUUAUAUCUGAUCUUCCUAAUAGAUAUUUCUUUCAAUCUCUAUCUUUUUCCUUCCCCAGAUAAGGGCUUGAAAACCUGGGAAUUGGUUUUCCACAAAACCACAAAUUGCCAAGAAAAUUAUUGCCAUCACACAUGCCAAAAAUUGGAAAAUAGGCCAAAUCAAACAGGCCCUAAGGUAAUAGGAUGAACAAGUGUCUAUAAACAAAAAGACAUACAUAAAGUUAACUUUUGCUUAUUUUCAAGCUUUGCCAAAUGUAUUGCUUCUUUGUCCAAGUGUUACCCUUUAAAGUCUGUUGCUUUAAUAAAAAAUGGUUAGGUACGGUCUUUGCAUCUUCUGCACCAUAGGGAAUCAAGUCAAUAUAUUAUAUCUGAUCUUCCUAAUAGAUAUUUCUUUCAAUCUCUAUCUUUUUCCUUCCCCAGAUAAGUUUUCACGUGCCAUCCGUCUGGAAUCUGAAUCAUUGGCUAUAUAAUUGCUAAAGCUAUGAUUAGCUUAAGGAUUAUUAGGAUAUUAAUUCCUAACUUCGACUUUAGAACUCUCCUAGAAUUAAUUUAUAGAUAAGAUUCUGUAGUGAUUAUGAUUUCGCUAUAUUAAAAGUGUUAAUGUUCCAUAUAUUUUAGCUGAUGCGUGUUUUCCAAGUAAUUAUCUUAAUCUGUCAGGAACCAAAUCUAAAAAAGGUUGAACUCCAACCUCGAGGGCCCCCAUCACCCUGCCCUUAAACCUUUGUGAGGGAGGUAAAUCGCGGGAUGUGUUCCAGCAGGUCAGGGAACAAGAGCUGUCUGUACACUACGUCUACAAGGAGUCUAAUUUCAUGUCUCAAGAAUCGAAUUCCCACACUGUGGCUGCCAGCAAAGCGUGAGAUAACCCACUCCUAUCCUUUGCACCGCUGGACUAUGCCCCAAGGAACUGGUCUUUAUUAUCAUAGAUAGUGCGUGGGUGUAGAACAAGGGACCACUGAAUUUUUUUCUAGGAGGGUCCCUAGUGACGGAUCCAUUACUCGUCUCAGAUCAAACGGAGGCAUAACUAAAGUAUGGAAAAUUAUCAAAUAGAAAAUAUAAUAAUAUUAUAAAUAAAAGUAAAAAAAUAAAAAUAAAGAAGUCAUAUAAUUUUAUUUUAUUUUCAAAUUUUUAGUAAAACUCCACUGGUCCCUACAUCCAUCCAUCACGCCUUGUAUCUAUCAUAUUCCUUUGGUACUAAAGUUUUAUCAACUUUUUAAUUGCUCAAACUUUAAUUUCAAUUACGCAUUUCAUGGAGUCCAAAAUUUUAAUCAACUUAUCAGCGACACAUUAAAUAAAAAAUUAUCAAAAUCAGUUAAAGUUUUUUUUUAUCAAAAGUUUUGUCACACAGUCCCUAAGUGUAAGUCUGAUUAUAAAUCGUUUUAGGAUUGGGUAGUCUUUCUUCCAUAUAUAUAUAUAUAUAUAUAUAUAAGGAAAACUCCAAUCGAAGCUCACGACCUAUUAGAAAAUUAAAAUAUUUUUCCUCUUUGUGUAUAGUAAUUUAAUUAGACAUAAUUAUAAUCAAGGGUAAUAAUUUCUUAAUUUUCAUCGUAAAUCUAUCUCUUUUUUGGCUUUGCAUCUAUUUAUAUUUCACAAUAUCAUAUGGAAUAAAAAUUUUAGUUCCUUGAAAUACCUAUCCAAUAAUUAUUUUAUUUUUGUGAAGAAAUUCAAAAUAAAAAGGCUUGAAAACCUGGGAAUUGGUUUUCCACAAAACCACAAAUUGCCAAGAAAAUUAUUGCCAUCACACAUGCCAAAAAUUGGAAAAUAGGCCAAAUCAAACAGGCCCUAAGGUAAUAGGAUGAACAAGUGUCUAUAAACAAAAAGACAUACAUAAAGUUAACUUUUGCUUAUUUUCAAGCUUUGCCAAAUGUAUUGCUUCUUUGUCCAAGUGUUACCCUUUAAAGUCUGUUGCUUUAAUAAAAAAUGGUUAGGUACGGUCUUUGCAUCUUCUGCACCAUAGGGAAUCAAGUCAAUAUAUUAUAUCUGAUCUUCCUAAUAGAUAUUUCUUUCAAUCUCUAUCUUUUUCCUUCCCCAGAUAAGUUUUCACGUGCCAUCCGUCUGGAAUCUGAAUCAUUGGCUAUAUAAUUGCUAAAGCUAUGAUUAGCUUAAGGAUUAUUAGGAUAUUAAUUCCUAACUUCGACUUUAGAACUCUCCUAGAAUUAAUUUAUAGAUAAGAUUCUGUAGUGAUUAUGAUUUCGCUAUAUUAAAAGUGUUAAUGUUCCAUAUAUUUUAGCUGAUGCGUGUUUUCCAAGUAAUUAUCUUAAUCUGUCAGGAACCAAAUCUAAAAAAGGUUGAACUCCAACCUCGAGGGCCCCCAUCACCCUGCCCUUAAACCUUUGUGAGGGAGGUAAAUCGCGGGAUGUGUUCCAGCAGGUCAGGGAACAAGAGCUGUCUGUACACUACGUCUACAAGGAGUCUAAUUUCAUGUCUCAAGAAUCGAAACCCCACACUACGGCUGCUAGCAAGGUGUGAGAUAAUCUCACUCCUAUUCUUUGCACCACUGGACUAUGCCUUGGGGGGCUGUCAGGAACCAAAUCUAUUUGAUAGAAAAGCCGGUCACAGGAAGAAAUGCCAUAUCAAUGCAUAGAUUAACGAUCUCUUUUUUUUCAUUUACGACAUUGUCCGCUUGUAUAUUCAGAAGCAUGGAUAUGAAACAAAAAAGAAGUAAGAUUUUAUUAUUUAGGAGCAAGGUAAGAAUCAUAAUUUUCAAAAUUGAAUAUUAAUGGUCCGUUUGAUUGCAAAAAUUAAAUUUGGGUGGAUAGAAAACGAAAUUCAGGAAAUUGAAUUACCUAAAACUUGUUUUAACGGGAAUUGUCAAUUAAAUGUGUUUGAUUCAUAUAAUUUUCUAUCUGGAAAAUGUUGAAAUUUUGGAUCAUUUAUUAUUCGACUUGGCAUUUUUUCCAUGGAAAUUGUCAAUUAAAUGGAUAAAUUUUUUUACAAUUGUGGAUAGAAUUUGUUUCCAUUGUUAAAAAAUAAUAAUAAAAACUUAGAAAAGUGAAUUCCCGCCAAAACAAUGAGAAUUGGGAUUCCACAAAAUCAAGAAAAAUUGGUCACGUAGGGGUUCGCGGUGGAAAAUGAAUUGCCGGGAAAUUUUGUGCAAUCAAACAUCCAAAAAGGUAGAAAAUUUUUCAUGGAAAAUUUCCUCUAUCAAAUAGACCCGAAGACAAACUUAACUUAUCCAAAUAUGUUUUGAAACCAGAAGUUGUUAAAAAUUAAGUGCUUAGCCAAACAUAGUCUCAAGGAAGCUUCUUAUGCAAUAGUCAGAAUAAUUUUUUAAGAUCUUUUUUCAUGGUUCUUGAUCCUAACUUGAAUUGGGAAAUUUGACUUAUAGUGAACAUUACCGGACUAAAGAGUUAUACCUUCCAAUUCUAUAUAAAGGCCAUCAUUUGGCAAUAUUCUCAUCACAAACAACAUCAAAACCAGUACCAAAUUUCUAUUCUUUGUGAUCAGUUAAAAUUUGACAUGGCACGUCAGGAAAAUCUUUUGAAGAUUGGCCAAGAAGGAUUUAAAAUCAUAGAGAAGGUCUUCCCCCAAACCAGAGAUCUGACUACUCGCCAAGAAUGUCAACAGAAUGAAUAUUAUAUGCAAAAACCAGCUGCUACCGACUUCAAGCAGGCUGCCAAAAAAUAUGGAGGAAUCGCAAUUAUAGAAGGCCAAAAGAAAAAGAAAAAUAAAAAAUAGAAGGCUCUUAUCCUCUGGACAAUCACACUACUCACUAAGCUAGAUGUCAUAUACUGUGGUUUUAGUCUUCGAAUCUGAUGUACAAAAUUAUAUAAUUUAGUUUUUGUAACCGUGAAACUUUCGUGUGAUUUUUGUAUUUAUAACUAGGUUCCUGUCCUAGAAAAUCCUCUACUCGGCUUUGCUCUGCUGAUUGAUCAUCACUGACAGUUCUAACUACAACAUUCUUGCUAUUCACCAAAAGAAAUGGAAGGUAGAUAUUGAAGGAAGUACUCUCGAAACUACUUAAAUGAUACCCUGAAAAUCCUCCUCAGAAAUAGGAAAUCAAUUAAAAUUCUGGCGUUAAAUGGGACACAACCAAUAUUUUCUAACAUUACGGGACACAAACACUUAUAAAUUACGGAAUCAAAAUAGUUAAUAUACAUUGUCAAGAGCUUGUUAGAAGAAAGACCUAAGUGAACAGACCAACUAGAGAGAACCUUUGUCCUCUAUUAUUGCUCCUUUAGCUGCUCGAGCGGCAGAAGCCGCAGAACCACUGAGGACCCCCUUCUGUCUUCAUAUUGUUUCUUGUGAUUGCUAGGGCAUGGCUCAUUCGGUCAUUCCUUGAUUGCUUAAAAUUCACUCCAAAACAUCUCCAAAUUAUGUCAUCGACUUCCAUUUCUCCCAAAUGCCGGUUUUUGUCCUAAUAUAUGUAAACAGUAGUAGAAUUCCGCUCGAAAACAAAAAUUGAGUCAUGUAAAUAAUAUAAAAUACGUAUAGAGUUUACAUCUAUAAGUUGAUACACUUCAACUGGUCACUACAACAAAGUUUUCCUUUUACAAUGCAUGUCGUAAGAAGUUCUUUACGGCAUGCAUGUAAACGCCGUAUCAAGCCACGUUGUAAAUACACAAAUAUUUUUACCGCAUCUAAUGCAUGCUGUAAAAAAAUGGAAUGCAACUGAUAAUUCACUUUUUACGACGUGAACUGGCGUGUCGUAAAUACUCACUUCUAAAUACACAUCAUAAAAGAUGAUAUUUAACUUUCUUACUAUGUGCACUCUCAUGCCGUAAAAAUGGAUGAUUUUUUUAUGGGUUUUCAUUUAGUGCAAGUCAUAAAUAUCAGUUUCAUUUUUUAAAAUUUUUUAUUUAUUUGAUUACAAACAAAUCUCUGCUAAUUAAAGAACUUAACUAUAAAUACCAACACCUAUAAUCAUGUUUUCCAUAAUUUCAAUGAACAAAAGUAUUGAAUGUUGUUUUAUACAAUAUACCAGAAUGCAGAGUUAACCUAAGUUAUUACUAAGAACGUCAUUAGCCUAGUCAAAAAAUUGAUGUUAUAUUUCAAAAGUAUAGACUUAUGCUCCAAUUAUACUGAUUAAAAUAGUACAAAAUAAUAGAUCCAUAUCGGAAGUUUGAGUCUUUCAUCAAAAUCUUACCUAUUUUGCUAGACCCAGCCCUCUUUUUCAAAUCAUUAAUUCCAAUAAAUUAUAAUUAAUAAACUUAGACACAGGAUGCAAAUAAAACAUGAUAAUUGUAAUGGUAAAAGAUCGUAUAUUAAACAAAAACACUACAUUAACCAUGUUUCUGCACACUGUCUAGUCUUAGAGCUUCAACAAUACACGGCAUCAACAUAUAUCCAUAUUAAACGGUACUUUUUGCAACUUCCGUCAGCAUAGGGCUGCACAAAAUAUUGAGAAAUAGCAAAUUGAAUCAAAUUCACAGGUUUGAAACAGUUGGUUCGAGCCCAUGUGCACCCGUAGUUUUUUAUCUCAAACCAAAUCAAACACUUUCGAAAUGGUUUGAUUUAGAUUUUAUUUUUCAAAAAGGGCACAAAAUCAAUCCGACUUGAACCUUUUUUUAGUUUUUAAUUAAAAAAAUAAUUGUAUUAAAUUAUAAUUUUUUAGAUAUAAAUUUUUUAUUAAAAUACAAUUACAUCUCCCAAAUUGCCAAAGAUGUAUUAGCAAUUAAAAUAUCCAUGGUCGCGAGUGGUCGGAUUCUUGUUUUGACUUCUUUAUAUUGUUGAAUCUAAAAAUAAAAAUAAAAUAAAAGAAUGUGUAGAAUCAAUGGAGAAAAUUAUAGAAAAUCAGAUAUGAGGAUAGGUAAAAUUACACAAUGCUUGUUGUGUUUUGAUACCCAACGAAUUUCGUGCUAUGAUGUAAACAUUGGAAUUUAAUUUUGCAGGCCUUGGCCAAUGGUGAAUUGAUUACUAACAACCAAAUCUAAAGGUUCGACUUGAAAACAACGUGGAAUGUUAGAAGUAACUUAAAAAAUUAAUGCUACUCACAGCCAUAUAUAUUUACCUAUUGAAUGACUUUGAAUCUUGGCUCUUUUAACGAUAUUAUUAGCCCAAUAUAUAUGUGUGUGUGUGUGUUGCUUUUUACUUUUUACCCAGCCACUGUGUUGUGAUUAGUGUGAGAAACUGAGAAAAAACAUGGUUGGUGUGUGUGUGUGUGCUGCUUUUUACUUUUUUCCUAGCCACUGCAUCGUGAUUAGUGUGAGAAACUGAGAAAAAACAUUGCUGCCCUCUUAGUGUGAAAAUCGACUGCCCUGUGUAGUGAUAAGUCAAUGGUUUUCUAGUAUAUUAGACUUUUUUAUGCCUUCUUCCAUUGUCUUUCUCGUGCCUUUGUGGCCUAUAAAUUAAAACCGUUAUAUUGGUAUUUGGGGGUGAGAUUGAGAAGCAACAAGUGAAUAUAUUGGUUAUGGGUUGGAGCCAUUUCGAUUGUUGUUUGAUAGAGAAAGAUAACGUGAAAUUGAGUCCCAAAAAUACUGUUUAGAAGAUCUUUGGAGCGAGUUUUGCGGUAAUUGGUAUCAGAGAAUCAAGCUGCUAGAUUUAGCCUAAAAAACUAACCAAAAAAGACCAGAAAAAGGUAGAAUCGAGGUAGAAAAUAGAUCGAAAAGUUGUCCAGAAAGCUUCCCAAAAUUCGGACCUAUAAUUGUAAUUUUCAGCCAAUCUAGAGGCUUAGAGGUGAAACAAAGUCCAUAUUCGAGAAGUGCGGGUGGAAGGACAACUGGACGGCUGGCGCUUGAGGUGGUUCAGCCAUGCAUGGCAGCUCUAGUGAGGCGCGUGAGUGCUUGUAGAGCUGAUUUCGAUGAUGACGUUUAGAGACAGAUUGCUCUUGGAGAUGAGGUGGACCCUGGGGACGUUCGAUUUUUUUUUUGGAUAAAAUUGUGGUUCUGGAUAGUUUUGCCAUUGCGCAUUUAGGUUCUUUUUUGCUUGAUAGGUUGCUUCAAUUACUAGAGACUUUAGGGUGAAUAAUGAUGGCCCUAAGUAGUAAAUUCACUUCUCUCAUUACUUACAGACCAAGAUUGAUUCGGUCUAAUAUCUUGGCUUAUCCCAUUUAAAUUUAACUAUGAACGAUUUAUUGUGUGGUGGCAUUAGGAUUAUGGUUACCGUAUGGGAUAACCAUUGCUUGUACUAGAAAUUUAGAUAUUAUUUGUUAUAUUUGAAGUUUUGAAUUUAAUUGCAAGUUGGUAAUCGCUUUCGUGUUUUAAUUGCUAGUAAGUCACUGCGUGAGACUGAAUUUUUGUUGAUGUACCUUUGUGUUGUAUUGAUUAUUUUGUUAGAACACCUAGACAUGAUUCAUUUGAUUACGGCCUUAAGAUUACUUUGUUUAACCUAUUUGUGCACUCUGGUUGUUAUUUUUUAAAAUGUCUUCACAUUUCAAAGUUGAACUUUCAAUGGAAAAAUGGAAUUUUCAAUUUAGCAACAAAAGACGAAACUGAUUUUGGUUUAACAAAAAGUUUCAAAAGUCAUAAAUGGAGAGUUUCUACAAAUUUUACAGAAGCGCAAAAAGAAAAAUAUGAUGAACUCGCUCACACUUCAAUUAUUUUACUAUCUAAAACUAUCUUGAUAAAAGUUGGAAAUUUUGAUUCUACUGAAGAACUUUAGAAAAAGUUAGAGGACUUAUAUUUGUUUAAAUCUACUCCUAAUAAAUUUCACUUGCUUAAAAGAUUUUUUUAGUUUUAACAUGAAUCCUUCAAAAGUUUUGAUGACAGUCUGGAUAUUUUUAACAAAUUUGUUCAAGAUAUCGUUAAUUGUAAUGAAAAUGUGUCUGAAAUAUAUAAGGCCAUUAUCUUACUCAAUUUUAUACCUGACUCAUAUAGAGAGGUUAAGAAUGCAAGAUUAAGUAUGGUAAGGACACCCUAAUACCUGAUAUUGUCAUUGAUUCUCUCAAAAGUGAAGAGAUAGAGAUUAAGGCUAAAAAAGAAGAUAAGAGGAAUGGUAAAUUACGAAGAGGAGUAGAAAGAUGUUUAAGCACAUGAAUUUGGGUAGAGCUCAACAUAGUAGUGAUUUGAGUGAUGAUGGUGUUAAGAAAAAAGGGUACAGGUUAGAACAAGUCUGGUGGUAAGUGGUGUUGCAGUUGUGGUAAGUUUGAACACUUCGUGAAGGAAUGUCUUAAGAAGAAGUAUAAGCAAAAAGGUAAGACGAGAGGUGAGGCGAAUAUGGCUAUAGGGUCGAGUGAUAACCCUAGUGAGAUUUAUUGAGAGUAAACCUAUUUACUGCAUGUUCAUCUAUGUGUAAUCCUUUUUUCAUUUGUGUGAUUAUUUAAUUCCACUGCAUGGUUAUAUGGCAUUUCAAUGCAUUUUAAAUGUACAUUUGCAUGAAUUUAAGAGCAAUUUGAUUACUUUGUGAAAUGUGUUUGUAUGCAUAGUGGGUUUCGAUGCAUUAAUAGUGGAGAAUAGUCUAUAGAGAUAGCAUUUUCACUUUGUUCCCCUACCCGAACCAUUUUGCCUAUUGGUGAUAUGGAGUAUAGAUCCCUAGGGGGUACAUUGGUGGUAUGUACCGAGGAUGAGUAUGACAUUUGGAUCACGAGUAGAGAUGUGAUUAAAUGUUAGAAUCGUCUAUCUGAGAAGACCCUAAUCAAGUGGAGUAUGAGAGAGUCACUUGUAUCACUUUUGUUGGGAAAAGACCCAUUAUCCACUUAGAUUGGGAGAAGUGAUGUAGUGACAUAGGAUAAUCUCGUGAACUUAGAAUUUAUUGUAAUUUACAAGUUAGACGUGAGUUGAGUGAUCGGUCUAGUGAACAUGGUGAGCAAUGAAAGGAGAUAUGUCUUCUCAAAGUGUGAACAACAUAGAAUGAAAUAAUGGUAUGUGUUUUGGGUCCGACACAAAAGAUAAGUUCUAUGAACCCCAUUUUAUUGGUUGCCUUGAUUAUGCAAGCAUUGAUUUUGUGUUUUGAUUGUUAGCAAGUUGAUUGGGUAUCAAAGUAAAAAUUUGUUGGGUUUCGAGACCCAUUGAAUUCGAGCUAUGAUGUAAAUGUCGAAAUAUAAUUUCACAGGCUUCGGCCAAUAAUAAAUUGAUUACCAACAACCAAUUGCUAAAGCUCAACCUAAAAACAAUGUGGAACAUUGUAAGUAGUAUAAAAAAUUAGUAAUUGUUCCUAAUCCAUAUAUAUUUACCUAUUGAAUUACUUUGAAUCUUGGUCCAUUUACUAUUAUUAGUCUAACUAACGCCAAUCCUAUCCUAUAUAUGUUGCUUUUGACCUAGCAAUGUGUAUGUGAUUUAUGUGAGAAAGUGAGAAAAACAAGACUGCCUUCUUAGUGUAAAAAUCAGCUGCAUUAUGGAGAGAAAAACCAGUGGCUUUCCUUGUGUAUUUGGCCUCCUCUUUGUGCUUUCUUCCAUUGCCUUUCUCAUGCCUUUGUGACCUACAAAUCAACACUAUUAUAUUGUCCUUUAUGGGUGAGAUUGAGAAACAAACGAGGUAAAUAUAUUGGUCGUGGGUUGGAAUUGUUUGGAUGUUGUUCAGUAGAGAAAGGUAACAUGAAACUAAGCCCAAGGACCACCUUUUAGAAGAUGUCUGGAGUGAGCUUCCACGACAAUGCUAUUCCAAUUUUUUACACAAAGCCAUCAUCCGGCCAUAGUGAUACAUCAUCUCUAACCACUUUGUUUAUCUUCAUUGACAAUUAGAAAUUCGUCUUUGACAGAAACGUGGUUGGCCAAAACCAACCAAAAAACAAAAAUAUGACAAAUCUAUAAGAAAAUAAAAAGAAACAUAAGAUCAAAUACUAAACAAAAGAAGUAUAUAAAAUCAAUAAUGUUACAAACAAAUGGAAUUCACUUAUAUCUUUUCAAUUUGAGCUUAGUAAAUUAAAUUGCAUAUCAAUGGCCUCUUUCAAGUCUCCUAUCCCCAAUUUUUCAACCUUGAUCGACCAAAUUAGGGUUACAACUGAAAAGCAUAAAAAGUUAAAAACUAAUCAAAAUUGAAAACUCUUUUACUUCAAUUGAAUAGACUAGAAACCUCUAAUCCUUCAACGCCUUGAGUAUGAUCUAGGAAAGAAGAGUGUGGCAUCGUAUGAUGAAAUUCUGGUGGCUAAUUGAAUGGCUUUGGAUGGAAGGGGAAAACGCCUUUGGUAUUGAAUAGCUCACUACCAUUGAACAAUUCAAUGGUCGAUUGAAUGGGGAAAGGAGAAAGGAAAUUGAACUAUGAGACAAAGAGAGAAAAGGAAAGGUAAAGAGAAAGAAAGAAUAGGAGAAGGAAAAAAGAAAAAGGAAAGGGAAAAGGAAGGAAAAAGAAAAGAAGGAAAGAAGAAAAAAAAUUUGGAAUGCACUCCAUAAAAAUCCUCAUUUUUAUCCCUUUUUUACGUGUAUAAAUACAUGUUGUACGUGAAAAGCCAUAUUUUUAUCAAAAUUUUUACGGCAUGUAUAAGUGCGUGCCGUAAAUAUCCAUUCUUAUCUUACAUGUUCAUGGCAUGUAACAUGUUUUCCACUAAAAUUUUUUUACGGUUCAUGCUUGAGAACAACACCGCAAACAUUCAACUUUUAGGGCGUGCCUAAAUUAAAUGCCGUUAAUACUUUAAGUAAUUGAAUUAUUAUGGCACACAUUUAAUGCCUGCUAUUAAAAAAAAAAAACUAUUUUUACUGCGUGAUUUAUACGCACAUCAUAAACAAAUGCCAUAAAAAGUUACUUUUGUUGUAGUAUUAUGCCAUUACUUGAAUUCAAUUGUUGAAACUUUUAGCAAAAGAAUUUAGAAAAUGGUUAAAUUAGGAUGCGUUAAUUAAGAAAUAAUGAAAUAAUAAUAAUGAUAAUAAUAAAUAAAUAAAUAAAAAUUCAUAAUUUAGGACUUUUAGUUUUCGAGUAUGGUUUUAGUUUUAUUGAUUUACAUAUUUGUAAGAUUGAGAGGUUUUUUCAAAAAAAAAAAAAAAAAAAAAACCUGAUUCGUUUAAUGAGUUUAGAAUUUAAGCGGUUCACUUGUGAGCCUCCUCCUCCUUUGUAAGCUUUUUAGAUGAGAUUUAUUCAAAUCAACAAGACGCAAAAAAAAAAAUAAUAAUAAUAAUAAUAAACAAAAUAAAAAAAAAACACUUUUAUUCAAAAGCUUUAAGAAAAUUUCAUUUUUAGAAACAUUUAUUCCAAGAAUUUCUAUAGAAUCCCCAUCUUAAGAAAUCCUCUUAAAGAAAUUCCUUUUUUUUUUCAAGAAUAUUAUUAUUAUUAUUAUUAUUAUUAUUAUUAUUAUUAUUAUUAUUAUUAUUAUUAUUAUUAUUAUUAUGUCUUCCUGUCUUUACUUAUUUUAAUGUUAUUUAUUAAGGCUAUGGCACUUGGAGGUAGAAAAACUAAAAUUGCUGAACAACGCAACAACCUCAACAGCCAGAACAAUCCCAAUUUAAUGAGGUUGACUCACAAGUUGCUCAACAAUUCCUCGAUAUAAUGCAUACCUUCGCCUAGGCGAUAGUGCCACAACAACCACCAUGACUACCAACGCCACCACCAUUACCACCACCACUAUAACAAACAUUGAUAGUGACAGAAGACACAAGGAACAUAGCUGCUGCUAUUGUGAAACUAUUUAGGAAAUAGCAACCUCCAAUUUUUUAGGGUGGUUUAAACCCUUGAUAGCAGAAGAUUAGUUGACAGGGAUCGAAAGGAUCUUCCAACUCGCUAACUCCUCAGACUCAUGCUGAAAAAGGGUGCCAUGUAUUGGUGGGGCUCAACCUCAAGGUCAAGGACUCGCGGACAUAUCUGGACAUAGAACCUAUUCAAGGAGAACUUUUUGAAGAAGUACUACCCUACAAAUAUCCAAAAUCAAAGUAGGCCGAGUUUAUUACAUUGAGUUAGGGCUCAAUGUCUCUUAUUGAAUGAGAGCGAAAGUUGAAAGAAUUAUCUCAUUAUGUCCCUAGCUUCGUGGAUACGGAGGAGAAAAAGGUGAGGCAUUUUGAACAACGUUUAAAGGAUGAUCUAAAGUAGGUAGUGGCGGUGCUUGAACAAGGAACCUACCUUGAAGUAUCGCACAACUGGCAGAUUUUAGGGACCGGUCUAGUAGGGAGAACUAGCAACUAUAUCGGCAUACGAAAAAGCAUAAGUGGGAAGAUAGCACAAGCAAAUGACAACAGAACUAUUGUAAGAAAGGUAAAGGAGACACAAUUCAAAGUAACAAUAAGAGCUUCCUACUUUGCAAUAAAUGCAAGAAACACUAUCUGGGAGCUUGUCUCUUAGGGACAAACAUAUGUUUUCAGUAUAGGUAACAAGGACACAUGGCCACGUUCUGCUCUAAGAUCCAGCGAAAAUAGGGAAGCGCACAACAGAUAAAGGAAUAUACUCCCAAGGGAUAAGUGAGAAUCUUUGCAUUGACUGAACGGGAAGAAAAUCAGGAUCAUGAUAUUCAAUCAGGUAACAUUUUAACAUCCAACUUAUAAGCCCAUGUAUUAAUCAAUUCUGUUGUCAUUCACUCAUUUAUAUCCCUUAAAAUCAUACGAAGACUAGAUGUGCAUAUUAUACCAGCACAUUUACCUUUAGAAGUGUCUAUACCCUCUGGAAAGGUGCUGAAAACUGAUAAUAUAGUUAAGGCGACAAGGAUAGAAAUCAAUUGUAGGUCUUUAGAGAUGGAAUUUUAUGAAUUAGAUAUGCAAAUACAAAUUGUCUAAUUGCCUCACUUUUUUUUAUUAUUUUGUGUGAUUUUUCCAUUAUUUAAAAAAUAAUUGUUUUUUACAUGUUUAUGUGAGUUAGAUAGCUUUGUCAGUAUUGAUGUAUAUAAUUGAGAACAUGUAUCAAUUUAUGAAUUGUGGAUAAGUUAUGUGCCUUGCUAAUUUUUUGCUUAUUCAUGUAGAACGUGAGAUGCUUAUGCAGGAGAGUUGAUUAUGGAGUUGUACAUAAGUAGGUUGAUCCAUGUUUAUUGGUUGAAAUAAAGAACUUAGAUGCUAAAUUCAAACAACUCCUAAAUAUUAUUCUAUCUAGGAUGUUUGGGUGGUUGAGCUGUUGUAAAUUUGGAUUCCAUGCAUGCUAAAUUUUGUGUGGAUUGUUUGAGACCAAUAGAAUGAUAAUUGUGUAAAAACCUUAAGUUAGGGUCGAUUUUCGAGAAUGAGUAUUUAAUAAGAGGCAAUGCUCUAAUCACUGUAUAAAAGGGAAAAAGUUGCCUUGUUGUGAAAAUACCUUAAAAGAUCCCAAUGAGGACAACUAUAAUAAUCUCAUUGAGAAAUGUUUCUUCAUAGCCUUUGUGACUUAAGUUAUUAAGCAUGCAAGGGUUGAAAAUCCGAUUCCCUAAAGUUAUCUAACUUGCGAGUCAUUGCCCUGAAGUUUGCUAUAGGGGCCAUUUAGAAAACUUAAUGUAGAGACAUCCAUACAUAAGAUUAAUUAAAGAAUAUAUAUAUUAGAAAAGAAUGUGCAUAAGAUAGAAGACAUACCACAUGCCUUGAUUAAGCUUCAAACACUUGUUUUAGAAGAUUAGACCUUUGAUAAUGGAUUAGUAACUUGGUUGAAUCCUGGGGGUUAAAGUAGUAAAAAAUAAGAAGAAUCCUCAUUCGUUGAUAUAUUGAGUUGCAACAAGUGAAACCUAACCAAACUUGAGUAGUGUAAGAAACUGGUAUUGAAAAUCAACUUAAGAAUAUGCAUCGGGAAGUGAAAAUAAAAUAAGUUUGGGGGUGUGUAAAUCCCACGAGCAAAAUAAGUACAUAUUUAACUUUUAAGUUCGAAAAUUGGAUCAACUUAUUAAUGUACUGCAUUGCACUUAACUCUUCAUAUAGACGCCCGUUUUGUAUUGAAUAGGUAAGAAUUUAACUUUGUAUUAUAGCUUUGAUGUUGUUUGUUGACGUCAAAAUUUGUAAAGAUUAAUCUCGAGUCAACUUAAAGUAAAAAGGGACAAUCUUUCUCUAUUAUGAAAUAGGCACAAAAUGUGUGAUUGGGAAACUAACUUGUAUCCAGUGUUUGCCAGAAAGCCCCCUCUUAACAGAACCAUUUCCCUACUAUUUAUGCACGACCUCAAUCGAAAUUACAUCAAAUCAAUCAAAUCAACUACAAGAUCGAGCUCGUAAGUCUGGUUGUCGAAUUCUUCUGUGAUUGGUUGACGAGGCUGGUUGCCAUGUGCCAUUGUUCUUCUCAGGUGAUAAUGGCCUGCAAGAGGCUAGAGAUUCGAGGCCUUGGAUUGGUGGCUUUGGACGGUGAUGACGUCAUCCUCCACAAGUGUAUGUGAUUGAGAGGGUGAUGUGACAAGAGGGAAUUAUUAUAUCUCUUGAGACUACGACGGUAUUAUACCGAGUUGAAGUACAUAGCCGAACUUGCAUCUGCCUGAGGUGGGGCCCGCAAAUGACAAUUAUGAUACCGGAGUUGACGGUCAACAUUGUUCAUAAUUGAUAUUGAGUUUUCAAUCAUGAGCUCUGAAGGUAAACUAUCUAACUAAAUUUAUUUAUGUGUUUUCUUUUCUUAAAUUUGUUUGUUUAAGUGUUUGUUAGUUAGGUUUUUCUUUUUCUUUUUCUUUUUUUUUUGUUUUUUGUUUUUUUGCUUUUUUGUUUAGUGUUUGCUCAAGGACUAACAAAGUGUUAAGUUUGGGGGUAUUGGAUGAUUGUAUUUCACUCAUACUUUAGAUAUCAUCUAACCUAGAUAUUUAGCUAAUUCCUAUGAGUUUUAGAUCAUUUUAAUAUGUGUUUUGAUGUUGUCAUAUAGGUUGAUGAGAUUGAAGGAAAUAAGUAAAAGUUAGCAAAAUUGGAAAAUGGGCUAAAUUGUAAGAGAUCCAAAAUUUGGAGACUGAAGUGAAAAUACUCAAAAGUUGUGUCGGACCUCACAAUGAAGAUUCGAGAGUGCUAGGAGUCAAUUGGAUAAAAAAAAGUCAAAGGGAUAAAAUAUAGUCAAAGUAUGAUUACACAUCAAUUUUCAAUCGAGAAAGUUAUGCUCCAGAUUUUUUAGUCUCAUAUUAAGACCCAUUUUUACAUAGCAAAUAUUCGAAUUGGAAAAAGAUAUCUGAAGUAAAUUUGUAGCCCUUUGAGUUAGAUUUUCGACACAUCUUAAAUCCCUUCGAUCGAAUAUCGAAAGAAGAUCUUAUGAUAAAAAUAAUAAAGAUGCCCAAUACUUUUUUCUCCCCAAAAGUGGCACUGCAAUGUCGCUAUAGUGGCACCGCAGUGCCACUAAUGCUGAAAAUUAGCAAUAUCGUAGCACCCUUUGACGCUGGGCAUGAUAGUGAUUAUCCUGUUGACUAGUUACCACAAAUGAUUCAUAGAAGAAAUACGAAUAAAACAUCCAAACAACAGAAAGAUUUCUCUAAAAUUCAACUCUGUAUUAUUCAACAUCCAGAAUGUCGAAAAACAACCCACAAGCUGGGCUAUAUAGCUAAAGAAGAACAAUAUUAUUGAAAUUUUACCAAGAAUAAUAAAAUACCAAUAAUCAUACCAAAAUAAACUAUAUAAUAAAUGAAGUAACUUGCCAAAAAUCUGGCUCAAAUCGAGUUCAUAAUCAUCUCAAAAACGACAAACGAAUAUUACAAGAAUGGAUAAAAAUUACUAAAAAUGAAAAUUUAGAAGGGAAAAUAGAGGAUUUUGGCCUCGAAAAUGAUGCCCAACGUGGACACGACGUGCGCACCGAAUAUAGCUUUUCGAAUUGGGAUCAUAAUUGCGAUUUUGAUAAACGUAGUCAAAGUUAUGGUCAAAUUAUCAAAGUAUGUUCAAAACUACUCCAAUUAGGAAAAGAUUACAAUCACUUGCCAUCUUUGUGCCGAUUUGCCAACCCAUGAUAUCUUGGCGUCGUUAACGUGGUAUUUGACAACUCAACAUUACUUGACUCAGAACCUCCUCCAUCACCCAUCUGGGAGGUGUAGCGCCGCCGGGAGAGAAAAAAUUAACUUUAAAUUUGUGGACUCUUUCUUGACCCAAUCCAACCUAAUUUGUCCAAAAAUUUAAAAUACUAUAAAUACAAACAUAAAAACCACAAUUCGAGAGAGAAUUCAACUAGACAAGAAAAGUAGAAAGAUUUAAUAAGUCAAAGGGAGGCAAGAGCAACAUCAAUGAAGAAGAUUAAAGAUCUACCUAAAAAUUAAUUUUUCUAUUCUCUUCUUUAUGUUGUUUAUUUUGAAUUAUAUAGAUUUCAUCUUUCUUAUCAUGAACUAAACUAUUCUUCUAUGCUUUGAUUAGACAAAAUUUGAGAGUAUGAUUUGAAUUCAUUUUAGUUAUUUCUAUGAAAUUUUUCAUUCCAUUUAUUUAAGUUAUGAUUUUAAUGCUUUCAGUUAAGGUGACUAAAUGAAUGAGUAUAUGCUAGUCAAUUCCGACACUCAAGAUAGGGGAAUUUAGGCUCUAUCAUAAGAUUAACACAACAUAGAUUUUUAUGUAUUCCAAGAGAAAGUGUAGAAUCUAUGAAGCUUACUUCACAAAAGAACCAUUAAUUUGAUAAAUUCUUAAUUUUAAUUCGGAAUAGAGAUAUUGAAAUUAAAAUCUAGGAGUAAUUUCUAAUCGGCACUCGAGAGGGGGGAUAGAAAUACAAUUGAGCUCUUGCUCAUAAUCAUGGAAAAGUUGAUUAGAGAUAACUAGAUAAUUGGUAAUCAUAUUUGAUAGUUAAGUGAAAUCAAAUCCUAGAAUUUCUUGAGUAAUUUUGCAAAUUUUUUUUAAUAUCGUUGAAUUCGUCACCAUAUUCAUCAUUAGAUUAGUUUAAACAUAUUGAUUUCAUAACUCAUUCGUCUAAAUAAAAUAAAAGCCAUAUAUUAUAGUACUUAGUAGAAUUUAAACAACAAUCCAUGUCGGCUCGCCACUCUUAACUCCAUCCAUGUAUUACAAAACUUGAUACCAUGUGCUUGAGGUAUAAAUCACGUUAUAGAAAAUGCGUGACAAAAAUAUAAAACCAGACAAAGUGUUUAGUUUUUUUUACCCAAAUUAGAGUGGAUAUUUUUUUUUGGGAAUAAAUUAUUUCCUUAUUUUUAUAUGGGAAAUUUUGUUUCCUUAUAUUUCACGUGAGUUUUAUAGAAAUAUAUUAUUUUCUUAUUCCACAUUAUUUCCAUUUUUAUGCUAUGCCAUGUACCUAUAAAUAGUGAUAUCCUCUUUUAAUUUAUUAGAAGUCAAUAUUGCUGUGGCGUUGUAUUGUCUCCAUAUUGUCAAUUAAUAAUACAUCUUGCCUCUGCGUUAAUUCUUUUUUUCUUUACUUUAUACCUUGAUAUAUAUUUUUAUAUUAUUGCAAUCCAUAUUAAUUUCAUAUUGCAUCAUUAACUUCAUUCUUUACAACCCGUCGAUCCAAACAAGUGGUAUCAGAGCAAGGUUACUAGUUCUUCGUAAUUUGAUUGAGGUUUUCAGAGAUGGCUUCGAUGAAGUAUGAUAUUCCGUUGCUGGAUCGCAAUACAAGGUUUUUGUUGUAGCAAAUAAAGAUGAGGGAUGUGUUGACACAGAUGGAACUAGAUGAUACUUCGCUGGGCUUUGAGAAAAUGCCAGCAAAGUGGCCUAUGGAGGAGAAGCAACAGAAGGAUAGGAAGGCUACAUCAUUGAUUCAUCUUCAUUUGUCCAACAAUAUAUUGCAGGAUGUCUUGAAGGAGAAGACAACGGCUGCUUUGUGGCUUAAACUGAAGUAAUUGUGUAUGAUAAAGAGUCUGACGAGCAAACUGACUCUAAAGCAGAAGUUGCAUUCCCAUCGCAUGGCAGAAGGCGGGUCAUUGCAGGACCACCUUGCUGUGUUCAAGGAGAUUGUUGCAAAUCUGGAGACGUUGGAGAUAAAAUAUGAUGAAGAUGAUCUGGCUUUGAUCCUGUUGUGUUUGCUACCCAGUUCUUUUUCGUCGUUUCAUGAUACUAUUCUGUAUAGUAGCGACACAUGUACCAUUGAGGAGGUAUAUGAAGCCUUGUUCUCAAAGGAAAGGAUGGAGUUGUUGGUUGGAGAUCCUACAUUUAGGGAUGGGGAUGCAGUUGUUACACAUGGUGAUCGACGGAAGGAUAGCUCGAAGGUGAGGUAUAGCAAUGUGUAUCGUUAUUACUGCAAGAAGAAAGGACACAUCAAAAAAGAUUGCGACAAGUUGCCGGGUAAAGGUAAUUUAUAUGCAAAUCAUGUGGGGCAAUCAGGUAAUUCGAAUGAGACUAAUAUUGCUGAGAAUUUUUGUGAUGAUAGAGAUGUGAUAUUAGCUGUAUCUGACGGGGAAUCCAAACCAGAGGAGUGGAUUCUGGAUUCUGCAUGUUCGUAUCAUAUGGGUCCUAAUAGGGCGUUAUUCCAGACAUAUGAGCGGUGAAGCAAGGUGGAGUUGUCAUGGGAAAGAACCAAUCUUGUCGGGUUACAUGAAUCGGUCGGGUCAGAUUGAGGCUACAAGAUGGGACAUUGAGGACAUUUGAUCAGGUUUGCCAUGUUCUAGACUUGACAAAGAAUCUCAUAUCAUUGAGUACCCUGGAUAUAGAAAGGUACAAAUUUUUUGGUGAAGGUGGAGUCUUAAAGGUUCGAAAUGGUGUCCGGGUUGUAUCGGAUGGAUGAAAGAGAUCGCAGUUGUACAUAUUACAGGGAAGCAAAGAAUCAAUUUUGAGACAUCGGGAUAAGUUCAGUACCGUGGGGGAUAUUCAGUUUGAUACAGUACCUCUUGUGUUGGGCUUUGGGUCCUUUCUGAACACUGCUAGAGGGAGCAUUGGUGAUUCCGCUUUGCCACCAAUUUCAGCGGAUGGACUGUGGUCAAAUGUCAGGGGUGGACUAAUGGAGCAUAGGUACUGUGGUGUUAUUGAUGUCUGUGAUGCUUUUGGGAUCGUUGAAAGUGACAGUUUUGACAAGGGGCCUUCUGAUCAAGCACUUGGUUUGGUUCCUGCUACAAGGUGUACUUCAACCCUGUAUGGUCAACAGUAAUUCUUUGGUAGAAUUUUGGGAACUCGGGAGUUGGGUUCAGGUGUCAUGUGUGGAUGCCUUGCAGAGGAAGGUGGUUUAGUGAUGGAAAGUUUUGGUUACUGUGUUGAGGAGUUUAGCUUUUUCGUUACAGACGGAUUUGAAAUCUAGGAGUUUAAUUCGUUGUAUCGGAAUUUGGGUCAAGGUGGAGAUUGUUGGGUUUUUUACCCAAAUUAGAGUGGAUUUUUUUGGAAAUAAAUUAUUUCCUUAUUUUUAUAUGGAAAAAUUUGUUUCCUUAUAUUUCACGUGAGUUUUAUAGAAAUAUAUUAUUUCCUUAUUCCACAUUAUUUCUAUCUUUAUGCUAUGCCAUGUACCUAUAAUAGUGGUAUUCUCUUUUAGUUUAGCAGAAGCCAAUAUUGAUGUGGCGUUGUAUUCUCUCCAUAUUGUCAAUUAAUAAUGCAUCUUGUCUCUGCGUUAAUUCAUUUUUUUCUUUACUUUAUACCUUAAUAUAUAUUUUUAUAUUGUUGCAAUCCAUAUUAAUUUCAUAUUGCGUCAUUAACUUCAUUCUUUACAACCCGUCGAUCCCAAGACAAAGGGUAUCUAGAAUGAGUAUCUUAUAGAGCGUAGCGAGAACUGGUCAAUAACAUAUUUCCUUGAGAAAUCUUCCAGUGUAUAUUCCACAUUCAACCAGCCUAUUGUGGGACACACCAUCUUUAGCAAUCUUUUCCAAAUGCCAUGCUUCAUCAUCCAAGGAUGUUUGAUGUGCUUCUAGUAUGCUGCAUAAAUAGUGAUAUGUUAGUUUCUCCAUUAACUACCAUGGAGUUGAAAUUUUGUGUGGACAACAUUAAACUAAAACCAUGUUGCUUAGUUAAGCCAUCCCAACAUACUACUUAAAGAGUAGACAAACUUUAUGCUGAUUCUUCGCUAAAAUACUACACCACAGAUGCAUGGGUUGCGUACAAGUAAUAAAGUGGACUUUUUGAGUCCGAAUUGUCGAUCCCUCGGGGAAUGUAUACUUUCAAUUACACAAAUAUAAUUAAUUUAAUUCUAACAAUAAAAAUAAAUAAAUACAAUUAAAGAUAUGAUUUUAAAUGAGGAAAUUAACUAAAAACCUACAAAAUAAGAAAAGGUAAAAAUCUUGGAAAUUUCAGAAGCAAGAGUGGUUGGGAUUUAUGGUUUUACUUAACUAUUGCCUAAUUAAUUUCUCCACAAGCCAAUUAACAAAUUACUCAUUCACAAUGUUAGACCUGACUUCCAAUUUUAGUCAAUUAUCUUUCUCGAGCAAAAUUAACCCUAAUUGAUUAAUUUAACCUACUAUAUCUCUAUAUCGAUUAAAACCAAACAACUACUUUAAAUCUUUGUGAAAAUAGCUCAACGGGUUGCCUAGGGUUAAGGGUAUAUCUCUAUUCGCUAAACAAACCUAGAGUUUCUACUACUUGGUCUAAAAUGCACAAUCUUCUCUCUAAUGAUGUACAGAUCACUUAAUAUAGUCAUUCAUUGGCCACAUAAAUGAAAAUGCAAUAAAUACAAUAGUAGAAACAUAUGGAAAUAAAUAACUUAACAUUAAAGAGCAAAUAUCAAAAUUAAGUAAAAGUUAGGUUAAACUAAUACCAUAAAUCUCAUUACAAAUAUUUAGCCCAUGUUAAAUAUAUGAUCAAAAGGAGAAUGUUUUAUAUAAUAUAUUGCGAGUUUGACAAAAUAAUAGAGAAAAAUACAAAGUAUAGAUAAAAUCCCUUUUUGAGCUUGCUCUUAAUUUCCCCAAAACCUUGCCAAAUCCUUAAUUGAAUCUCCUUGUGCUCUAGAUUGUGCCUUCAAAAUACCAAGGAAAGGAAAAGAAUAGAAAAGGAAGAGAAAAUGUAACGCCUCGACCCCUAGUGGACCGGAACGCUACUUACUUUACUUAGCUUAACCGUUGAUUUAGUAACAAGUGUAUACGUUUUAGUGAAAGCUUACAUCUUCGGAUAAUAAUUUAAAUAACAAUAUUUCAAAUACUUUAAACAAAAACACUGAAUCAUUUUUCAAAACAACAAAAUAUAAUUUAUUUGAAGAAAACAUAACUUGUUCUCGCAUUCUGCGUUAUUCAAAACUUUAAAGAAAUAACAUUGGAAAACAUUUCAUAAAAAUAAAUCCAAAUCACUUAUUCACCGGAUUUCCAUGGACUCAUUGCAUCACUCUCUAUCUUCUCCUCCAUCCAUGCUCGUGGUAGAAUUCCUUCAAUCUGUAGAGAUGGGAUUAAACCCGUGAAUUGAAAAAUUCAAUAGGUGUCAUAGGUGCAUUCGUGAUCAAGCUAUACAUUUCAAAACAUUAACUUUAUAACUUUUCAUACAUGCCGUACCCGGAGGCACCAUUUGACAUGAAGGGGUAUGCCGUACCCAAGGACACCAUUUGACAUACGAACAUUUCUUCAACAUAGAGGGGUAUGCCGUACCGGAGUACCAUUUGACAUACAACCAUUAACAUAGAGGGAUAUGCCGUACCGAAGUACCAUUUGACAUACAAACAUUAACAUGAAUCGAAACUUAUAACUUAACACGAUUAAAUACAUUGCACCUCUACCUACCUUGAUUGAUGCUUUUGAAACUUUGAAAACUUGGAUUGAAAACUUCGAUGAAACUUGGACGUUGAAAGAAAUGCACUCCUUGGAUGUUUGAAAACCGUUGAGAAUUGAUGCUUGAAGACACUUCCUAAACUUCUAGAAAAAAUAGUUUUCCUCCAUCUUUUUUUCUCUCUUAGAAACUCUUUCUUUAGUAUGUAAAAGCUCUUGCUUUUGGUGUGAGAAAAAUGAGUGAAAUGAGAUCUCUAUUUAUAGGUAAAUAUCCCAUAACUAAUAGCAAAUGAAGGGUCAAAUUUCAUUUAAGAGAGAAAACAUGGGUACCAUUUAAGUUUGAGGUUAAAUGCUUCAAUUUAGUGGGGUUUUUAUUGCCAAAAACGUGGGUGGCCCUUUGAGAAAAUAAUUGAUGAAAAUAAAUAUUUAAAUUCUAGAGAAAAACGAGAAUUUUCAUUUCAGGCAGUUUCGGUCGACCGGUUGUAGUUUGGUUGACACUGCACAGCUUUCAGUGUUUCCAUCAUAACUUCUUCUCCCGAUAUCCGAUUGAGGUAAUUCAAAGUAUGUUGGAAUGAUAACUUAAAGAGCUAAAACUUUUAUUUAGAUAUCAUUUUUCAAAUUGAACAUUUCCUAUGUCGAAAAUGGGUUUCAAAUGAGACUAAAAAUCUGAAGUAUACUUUGGUCAUCCAAUAUUCAUGUCUUAGUGCCACUAAGGUGUCUAGAAUUAUUUGGGGUUUUACAAAAAAGGAAGAGAAAAGAAAGAAGAAAAAAGAAUAGAAAGAAAGAAAAUGAAAGAGGAAGAAGACCUAGCCCCCAAAACCUAAAAUCCCCCCGAAAAUGACCAAAAUUCGGUAUUUAAAUGGCCAAAAUCGCGUCAAGGGAAAUUGUGAAAGAAGCCCCGAAAUUUACGUUAAAUAGGCAAAAUUCACCAGCCGGAAAGCGGAGCGCGAACAUAGGCAUUCGUUCCGCGCGCACACCGUUAAACCGUUUUGGCAUCGGUAAAUCAAAAAGAUCUCCCCGUGCAAGCACCAUUGCGCGCGGGCUUUCUUUAUUUCUUUUUCCAACUUAGUCCUCCAUUUAAUUGCACACAAGGAUCCUCAACUUUGAUCAUGUACAAUCUUGUCCUCAAAAUUUGAUUUUCAUAUCACUUUUGCUCUCCAAAAUUGUAACCUUAGGUCCCCAACUUUCGGUACUUGUGCACUUUGGUCCCCAACUUCACAUUUUUGUGCGCUGAUGGUCCUUUUCACUACCUUUUGCCUUGUUCUCUUCCUUUGGGUGAUUUUUGGCCUACAAAUGUAAAUAUUACAUAAUUGUGAGUAGAAUUUCAUUUAUUUAAUCAAUAAAUAACAUAUUUAGAUAUUAAUUAAGUGCGUAAAAACACACUUAUCACUGAUCUAAUAGAAAUGUCUUCCAACUUUAACAUCGUCAUGAAGCAUCAAGAAACUUUGAUAAAAAAAAAUCAUGCUUCAAAAAUUUCAAUGAUUGUUCAAGUACUGUGGGAACCAAAAAUAAAAAAUAAAAAUAAAAAUAAAUAAAAAAAUUACAACUUAGGAAAAAUAAAUAAAUAAAAUAAAAAUAAAAAGCAGAGUGCAUCAAUCAGUUAAUUAUAAUAACAUGCUGAACAAAAACGAAAAUUACCUGAAAUGAUUACGAAUAAAAUUUGAUAGGGAAGAGAUGGUUCAUAAGAGAAACAUUCUCCAUGAUGAUCUUGUACUUUGAAGGAUUUAUUCCUUCUCUAAUUCUCACUUCCAUAAGACUUGCAUGCACAUUUGCUCCCAACUGAAAUUUUUGCUCCUUAUCCAGCUCGAGUUUUCCAUAAAAACUGACCCCACCUACUUAACCUACACCCUCAUGCAAAGACACUGUCAAGUCCUCAUUCACCAAUGGCUUUCCUUCCCUGUUCCGUACAAUUUUUGCAAUUGAAGUCCUCCUUAGACCAGUCUUCUCGAUCAUUGGAAUUAAAAUCACCAUCAACCAUGAGAAGGUUGACCUUUAUUGACGAUAAAGGCCCAGAUGUUAUUAUUUUCUUAGAUGCAGAAUCAUACAAUACUAUUUUCCCAGGGAUUUUUCCCUCAAUUAGCACCCUAUUGCAUGUGAUUGGGGUUGAAGGCAAUUUACUGUCAAAAUGCAACUGCAAGUUCCUUGAUCCAGAGCACGCGUUUUGAUUUUGCGAGGAUCUACAGAAAACAAUUUUAUAAGAGGUGCAAAAUGUUAUUUAACUUGAAAAGGAUAUAGGAUCAAUAGAUAAUGAAGCUAUAUCUCAAUAUCAAGACAAAUUCAAAGAACUGGUCAGUUAUUAUUAUUAUAGUCUAAGUAAUCCUAUGGAAAACGAAAUCUAAUUAAAUGUCUUAUGACUUGAUAGCUUGAUAAAGGGACAAAAACCAUGGAUGAUGCAAAACAUUAUACAGUACCAUAAUUGAUGGAUAAACUAACCUCAGUAAUCAUUGGAUUACUGGUCCACCUCCUCACGAACCUAUCAUUUAGAGAGAGUAACAGAGUAAUCAGUCACUUACUAUCUCACAAAUGACAUCUAAAUUCAAUACUAAAAAUAUCAAAACAUUAGCCUCCAAAAACCAAAUUUAAAAAAGCAUAUCAAUGACUUUAAUGUGAGAUUUAAAUUCCACAAAUUUUCUCCACAAAAAAAAAAUUAAAUUAAAUUAAAUUUUACAGCAAUAUAUAGAAAUGCCCAUCAUGAGGUCAUCCCAGAGUCGGUUGGACAUCCAAGGGUAGGUCAAAUAUAAGAAUUCGUGGCAAUUAAAGAAAAAUGUAAUAAAUAGAUAGAAAGUGCAAGACAAAAAUAAGCACUUUUAGUAAAUAAAUGACCUAAAGAUUUCUUAUCACAAGUUUAUGUCGGGUUGUGAUGUCAGAUUCAAUCCAAUAAGUUAGGCUAUGAUGAUAUGGCAUGUCGGCCAUAUAAAUAAAACUACCCAAUAACGUCUCAUAGAAGGCCCAAGACCCCAAGCCCAAUAUUCGGCUAGAUAUAUCGCAUGUUCAAAGUUCGACUUUAGUUGUUGAUUGACUAGAAAUGUUAGUCGCUCUAGACCAUUAGAUCACAUUCUCUGAUCAAUGGUUGCUGUGUUUAGUAUAAAAAGGGUCUUUUUUUGUAACCAUAAACCAGUCGAUUCAUUCUUCAAGUCCGUGAGAGAAUCUUCAACCCAUUUUGUCUUCUCUUCAAUUUUCAUCUUCCCUUUUUUGUGUGAUUAAAGGUUGAAAUCUCCAUGUGAGAUAGGAGUCUUUGUGAUUUCUGCUGUGUGUGAAGACGAUUGAUCUAGGAUUGAGUUCUUUCUGGGUCCAUUGUAGUGACUUUGUUUCAUGUCUUGAGUUGUGAGGGUUUUGGGUUUGUCCAAUGCCUCUGUGUUGAUAUAGAAGUGUACAGUGAUCUGAGCCUACGAUCGAUAAGAUCUUUGAUGCCGGUUGAUUGGGGAUUUUUUGAGUAUUGUCGAUGUAUUCUCUCCGUACUGAAAUUGUUGUAUCUUUGAGUGAUUUGUAUUAAUAGUGGUAUCAGAGUCCUGUGGAGGCAUCGUUCAAGUCUUCGAUCGAGUUUAUCUCUGGAAAAUUAAUUUUCAAUUGAUAACUUGAAUCGAUUGGAAAUCAGAUGAAACCUAGGUCUACUAUUUAUAGAUCUAGGGGUUGCUGGAGUAGAUCCUGGUACUGAGAAUACAAUCUUAAAAGAAACUCUUGGUUUCUAUAUGCUCUUCGAGGAGAAGCCCUAGAUCUAGAUUUUAUCAAGUGUGAAUCCCAAAUCCGAGUUCAUAACGGCCUGUGAUCUUUUCGUAAAACAAGUGUUCUAGUGGUUAUAUUAAAAAAUACCACCACUUUGGUUUGCCGCUUUUAACUCUUAACUCAUUUCUUGUGUUCUCUUUUGAACUGUUUCUAUUCUUUCAUAUGUGAAAUUGUGCCUGGUUCUGCAUUAUUAUCGUGGCCUUUGCUAUUUGAUAAUCUUGAUUUUUUGAACUAUUCCUAGGUUGUGCCUUGACCUGAGAACUUAAUUCUCAAAGAAUCCUAGUGAAUAUGGGAAUCAGUUUGGGAGUGAUCUAUUGUUAUAGUUUUGUGCUUUACCCAUGAGCUAUUGUUGUAUGUGAGUUCAUUAUUUUUUGUUAAAAGAUACAUGGUAGUUCUUGCAUUUGUGUCCCUUGAUAUUUGUUUUUGGAACGGUUACUUUUUUUUUAAUUCAACUUUUUUGAAUUGUUGUCACUGAUAUAAUUCUCUUCCUUAAAUAAAGAAAAAUAUUCUUUUCAAAUAUAAUGAUUACAGCCACUUUUGAAUUUGGAGUUUAUAAUAGAAAAUGGGAUUUUCCCAUCUAACAACAAAAGAUAAGGAGAGUUUUAGGUCAACAAAAAGAUUCUAAGGCUAAUGAUUAGAAAAAGGAAGCUGAUGAAUUAGCCUAUACUUCUAUUAUCUUGUAUUUACCUGGUCAAAUAUUAAGAAAAGUAGGUAAAAAGAAUACUACCAAAGAAUUGUGGAAAAGACUAGAAGAACUUUAUCUCGCUAAAUCUCUGCCAUAUAAACUAUUUCUUUUGGAAAGAUUCUUUAGCUUUAAAAUUGAUUCCUCUGAAGACUUAGAUGAUAACCUUGAUGUCUUCAAUAAAUUACUCCACGAUACCACUAAUACAAAGAUAAGGUAUCUGAGGAAUAUAAAGUUGUUGUCCUGUUAAAUGCAAUACCAGAAAUCUUUAAGGAUAUCAAAACUACCAUAAAUAUGGCAUAUACACCCGCAUACUUGAUAUUGUUAUUGAAUCCUUGAGAAGUAAAGAACUAGAAUUAAAUAUGAGAAAUAUAGGAGUACGUUUGAGAGUUUCUUUGUGAGAGACAGGCCUUAGGUUAGGCAAAACUAGGGACAACAAUUCAGCUCAUCGGCUCGAAAAAAUCCCAAGCUAGCCCAGCUCAAGGAUCAGGUCAAGCCCCAUUUCGAGAGGACGAAAUGAGCUCACACGGGCAGGCUUGAGCUUCAACUGCCUUUAAAAUGUGGCAUUUUGCUGCCUUAAGAGGCAGCCGAGUGGGGCCUUUCCUUUUUUAAGGCCCGUAAUAAAAGGCAGCAGCACAAUAUUGCCUUCAAUUUACUUAUUAAAAAAAUUAACAGUAAAAGGCUUGUUCGGAGAGGCCCAAGCUAAAAACUCAGGUUGAGCCUAAAUCUUUUGUUUGACUCAGUUCGAGACCAAAAAAAUCUCGCACUGUUUUACUUGAGCUGAACUUGAGCCUCGAGUUUCGACUUGGCUCGUUGAUAUCCCUAGGUAGAACUAGAGUCAGAAAGGUCAAAAUAGCCAAGUAAAUAGUAAUAAGAAAAAAGGUAGAGAAAGGAUUAGAUCUAAAUCCAGGACUAGAAAUAAGGAGUGAUAUGGGUGUGGAAAAUAAGGUCACUUUAUAAAGGAAUGUUAUCAAAAGCAGAAUGAAAUAAAGGAAAAGAAAAUAGAUGAAGGUAAUAUUGUAGAACUUGUAGAGUCUAACACUGUCGAUGUGUAUGUUGUUAGUAAGCAUACCACUAAUCUAAACACUGCUAAUUUUUUAGCUAACAGUGAUCAGAACCAAGAAUGGAUAUUGGAUUUAGGCUGUACCUUCCAUGUGACAUCUAGAAAACAAUGGUUAGACAAUUUUUAAAAUACUUAGUGGAGGCGAAGUGGAUAUGGGAAAUAACGUUGUAUGUAAAGUGGAAGGUAUAAAUAAUGUUACCUUGAUGUUUGACAAUGGAUAUAUCUAUACUCUUGAAAGAGUUAGAUAUGUCCUUGAAUUGAAUAGGAACAUUAACACCAUGGGGGAUUUGGAUGACAUGGGCCUCAGGCGUACAAGGUAAAUCUGGAAAAUGGCUUAGUUAAAGUGAUGAAAGGAUCACUUGUCAUUUUCUAGGGUUAUGAAAGAAAUGGAAUACAUAUCACUAAAGCUGAUGUUGUCAUGAAUAAUGUUGCUGAAGUUACCAGUGUUGAAUUUGAUUCUACCUUCAAGCGACAUAAAAGGCUGGCUCAUUUGAGUGAAAAAGGACUUCAAAUCCUUCAUAAGAAAGAGGUUUUUGGUAAAGAUUAUGUAACAAAAAUUCAUUUUUUGUGAAGAUUGCACCUUAGGAAAACAACAUAGAUUACACUUUAAUACUGGUCAACAUAAAUCCACUUCUACCUUGAAUAUAUUCACUCUGACCUUUGGGGACCUUCAUCCACCACCACUCAAGGAGAGAAUAGAUAUUUCCUAUCCUUAAUUGAUGAUUAUUCAAAUAAAGUCUGGACUUACCUACUUGAACAAAAAAUUUGAGACUUUUGAAAGGUUUCAACAGUUCAAGACUUCGAUAGAAAAUCAAACAUCUAAGAUGAUUAAAAUUCUAAGGACUGAUAAUGGUUUAGAAUUUUGCAAUGCUGAAUUUGACUAGUUUUGCAAAGAAAAUGGAAUCCAAAGACAUAAAACGGUACCCUAUACCUAGGUCUCUUUUGGACAAAGUCGAAUGUAUCAUGGUUGGUUUUGGAGUUCCCAAGGUAAUCUGGGGAGAAGCUAUAAUGAUAUCAACCUAUAUAGUUAAUAGAACUCCCUCUAGUGCACUAGGAUGUAAAACACCUGAAGAACUGUGGUCUGGAAAGAGUCCAGAGUACUCUCAUAUGAAAAUUUUUGGCUGCGCAGCCUAUUCUCAUCAGAGUAUUGGUUAACUUGAGCCACAGGCUCAAAAGUGUAUUUUCUUGGGAUGUCCUGAUGGAGCUAACACACCGUUUGAGCCUCAUUAUUUCUCAUUAUAAUGUUUUGAAUAGUAUUUUAUUUCAAAAAUGAGUGGUUGAAAAGUUUUUGAUUUACGUGUAAUAUUAUUUUAUUGAGGAUUGUGUAGUUAAAAGUAUGAAAGAUAAAAAUUUAAUUUAAUGCAAUGAGAAAUAAUGGGGCUCAAACAGGGUCUAAAUAAUAUAGGUUAUGGGCCAGAGAUUUAAAGGGUUUUAAAUUCAUUACCAAUAGGGGUGUCACUUUUAAUGAAAAUGAAAUGUCUUAUCUUAGUGAUAAGGAGACUAAAAGAAAUUUGGAUGUUGGAGAGGGUAGUGGGACUAUGUUCUAGCUAGAACCAUAGUCCCCUCUUGAGUCUGCUUAUCAGAUCCAGGUGGAGUAUGGAUAUGAUGGGGUUGAACCUAGCACUGUUGAACCUGAACCAGAGGGCGGGGCAAAUGAAGUUGUGAAGAUGAGAGUGAACCUCUUGAAAACCUUAAUGACUACCAACUAAACUAGAGAUAGAGUUAUAAGGGAGAUUAGGGAGCCAUCAAGGUUUCUUUUCUCUUGCUAUGUUCUCUUACCAAGAUCUAGCCUUUAAGGGGCCAAAAUCUUAUGAUGAAGUCAUAUCCAACCCAGUUGAGUAAACACUGGGAAGUGGCCAUGGAAGAUGAAAUGAAAUCCCUUUUGAAAAAUCAGACUUCAAAACUUGUCACCAAGCCUAAAAAUAAAUCUGUUGUAGAUUGUAAAUGGGUUUACACUGUGAAAGGAGGUUCAAAAAAGUAACCUCUUAGAUUUAAGGCCAGACUGAUUGCCAAGAGAUUCACACAAAAUCAGGGAAUAGAUUACAAUGAAAUUUUUUCAUCUAUAGUAAAAUAUACCACAAUCAGGGUAAUGUUGUCUCUUGUGGCUCAUUAUGACUUCGAAUUAGAGUAAAUGGAUGCUAAAACAGCUUUCUUGCAUGGGGACCUAGAUGAGACAUCUAUAUGAAAU
rnacentral:lncRNA from 1 species